rnacentral:lncRNA from 1 species
GCUCCCCACCGCCACCCUGUCCCCACUCACUCCCCACCACUCGCCUCUCUCUCUCGCGCGCGCGCCGCCACCCUCUCCCUGUCGAUGCUCCCUCUCGCCAGCAUCUUGCUCUACACCGCUGCUUAGCUCACCGCUCCCCACCACCGUGAUUCAUGUCGCAUCGCUAAUCCGCCUACCGCAGAGAAACAAAACUUCCAUUUUUAUGCGCCGCCGACAUGCUGCUGGGCAAGGAGGAGCUGGAUCCGCGUGCGUUGGCGCUAAAUCUGAGUGCGCUGGUGCUUGAUCUACUUUGUGGAUAGGAGUGAAGGAGGUGCUGAAGCGGAGCCCGAGAGGCACCGGUCGGCGUGAAGACGGCAACGUGAGGAGAUGGAGCCCGAGCGGGAGGAGUUGGAGCCGCAUCUGGACGUCGCCAUGAUGAGGAGAUGGAGCCGCAUAUGGACGCCCCCAUGAGUUGGACUUCCCCGACCACGAUGACGUUGAUGCCGUGGUUUUUUUUAUGCUUGAGCUUGCUGUAAUGAAUGGAUUCUUCGUGUACUCCAGCUUGACUGUACUCCAGAGGCUGGAUGGGUGGGUGGAGUAGGAUUAGUUAGUGCAUGCGUAGGCUGGAUGGAGUAGGAUUAGUUAGUGGAUCAGGCCCGAGCUUAGUUAGUGGAUGCAUUAGGAGUAAAAUUCAGUAAGAUGUGUACUGUCUCAAAAUUUAAGAAGUCCUGCUCUAAAAUUCAGUAAAAUUUGUAGUGUACUCUAAACUCUGAAGUUAAUGGAUGGAUUAUUUGAACUCUGAACUCUGAAAUUUGAACUCUAAAUUUUGUACUAUCUCAAAAUUCAGUAAGAUUUGUACUGUACUUGAACUCUGAAAUUUGGUUUUGACUGAAGAUCGGUAAGAUUCACAGUUUGUGUUGUUCUGAAUAAGAGUUUUGACUGAAGAUCAGUAAGAUUAGUUGAGCUGGAGUAGAAGUAGAUACCAUGUUGUUCCAGCAAAGAGAGUUUCUUCAUCUGGAGAUAGUAGUUAGUGGAGUAAGAGAGUUUCUUCAUCUUGGAGUACUUAGAGUACUCCUUGUAGUAAUUAUUGCAAUAUUGUUGUACUCCUUAAAGUAAAGAUGAUUUAGGAGUACUUCAUCUAGAGACAGUAUUGCUGUACUUAGAGUACUCCUUAAAGUAUUGCAGUAGCUGAUGCAAGCUGAUUUAGGUGUACAACACUUAAAGUAAAGAAUGUGCAAGUUUACUGUCAAGUUUCUGCAGUUCCUAUAGUAACCCUACUGUCAAUUUUAUGUUAACUUGCUACUCCUGUCAAUUUCUUGGAGUUCCUGGAGUAGAGUAGUGCACUGCCCUUGUUUGCUUGCAGGAGUAAUUAAUUGAAACCUUUUCAAUUAAUUAAAAUUUGGUGUAUACUUCUUGCUUGCAUCAGUAGUGCAAACUACUCUUCUUUCUUGCACUUGGAGCACACACACACUUGGGCUAAAUGCAGUAGCUUGGAAUUAACUGGAACUCUUUUAAAACUAAAUGAAUCUUUUCAUUUAAAUGAAACUUUUUUCUUCAAUUAAUUUGUAGAAAGUCCUUGAUGUAGUUAACUACUGAAACUACUUUUUGUAGUUGACUUGGAGUACUUGCUGUCUUCCAUGAUAUGUUUAUUUGGAGUACUGAAAUUUGCAAAGAAGAAACUUGAAACUUGCUAAACCUGGAGUACUUGCUAUAGUAACUGAAUAAAUUAUGGUGCAUAAUUACUCCAUAAGUACUUGCUAGGAAUGGACAUUAUGAUCAUGCAAAGAUGAUCAUGAUGGUUAACUGCAUUUGGAGUACAGUACAUCAAUUACUGAUUAGGAGUAUGCAAAGGCCACUGCCUUUGGAGUAUAGUACAUCAUUUACUUACUCCACUGAUUAGGAGUACAUGUGCUGAUUAGGAGUACAUAUACUGAUUAGGAGUAUGUGGUAUCUUGCCUGAAAUGCUACAGUAUGUUGCACAUAUACUGAUCAAUACUCCUGAAAUGCUAUAGUAUCUUGCCUGAAAAUUCUAAAGUAUGUACUUUACUCCAGCGAUAGUAAAGAUUCAAUUUAUGAUUACAGCAAAUGAUUCAAAGUUUCAGUUUAUGAUUCAACAAACUUACUCAAGUGAUUACAACAAGUGUCAGUUUGUGACUCAAAGUUUCCUUUAUCUUAAACUGUUUACUUAGAUUGUUUAUGAUCAUCAAAUUGUUUACUCGGAUGAACAAGUCUCAGUUUAUGAUCAUCAGAUUGUUUAUGAUUGUCAAAUUGAUGCAGAGCUGAGUACUGGGCGAUGAGAUGAACCUAGGCGAUUAAAAUUGAGAACUCCAGCUCCUGUGCAGCAGCGAGUACUUCACGGCAGUAGCACCUGUGCGUGGGGAGUAACAGCCCCUGGGUGCGUGCGGGCUCCAGCUCACCUCCAUCAGCAGUUGGCAGCAGAGCAGUAGCACGCCUCCACCAGCGGGCAGCAGCAGAGUACUAGCUCGCCUCCACCAGCGGGCAACAGCGGAGCACUAGCUCGUCUCCACUAGCGGGCGGCAGUAGAGCACCACCUAGGAGCAUGCAGGCCACGAGGAGCCCCUGGGUGUGGGACUGGAGGAGCGCUUGGGCGGGGCUGGAGGUGGAGGGCAAUGGCGGAGGACGGGGGCGGAGGUGGAGGUAGAAUAUGAGCGUAGGUUGAAGAUGGGCAGAUUCAAAUUUUGAACAGGGGUAUUAAAGUCAUUUGACAGGUUUUCACCUGGUCAAAACACGAUGCCCAGUGACCUACAUUUCGACGGAGGGAGUAUAUUUUUCAUGAGUCAUGUACGGGCGUAUGAUUUAUUGCAGUAUAAUAAUAAACAUUAACUGGAUAUAUGAUUUAAGUAGGAUGGUUUCUGUCGCACUGAAUUAUUAUCAUGUUUGUGGCAUAACUAAUUGGUGCUCGCCUUAUUUGACUGAGUGGCACGCAUAUCAUUAAAUUUGGUCAGGCGGCUUGGCAGUAGAUACAAAUAAGGUGAGUUUAAUAUUUCCUGUUCCUUCUUUGGUUGUGAUCAUGCAAUUUAUAUUUGAAUCAGGUGACCAUGUAUUGCUUGUUGUUUCUUAAAUCAUGAGCUUAGUUACUUUUAUUUCAGGUGAUAUUGUCAAGAACAUGAGGAGCCUCCAUUUCAGAGGUGCUUCUGUUGCAAGUUGCAACAGAUUGCUGCUUGUGGUUGGCGGCAGUGUCUCCACACACUUGUUCGUGAUUGGUUCGUUUCUUAAUCAUACUAGCAUAGUUGUAGUGUGAAAUCAUGAGCUUAGUUACUUUUUUAGGUUGCCCUGCUGGAUGCCAAUGUUAGGUUGUUGUGUACCUACGAAUGGCUCGUUGGUACCUAGAUUAUGUGGUGCGUACCUACUAUCUGUAGGAAGGAGAUUUUUUUAUUAGGUGAAGGUUCUUUAUGUACUGGAAUAGUAGGGCAACCAAACGAGUUGUUUGCUCAUCACCAUAUCUAUGUUAGUCUAUGCUUCCUUUCGUUAAUUGCUUAGUCCGUGCUUGAUUGCUUGCUUCUUGCAUUGAACAUCGAUGAAUGGCACUAUGGCGGCAAGGAGUAGCAUCAGUAGGUCGGCUCGGUCCCAAUUGCAAAUUUCUUUUUUGUUUUGUAUUAUUCAACCAUGCAUGUUUGUAUAUUUUGGAUGGCCUUGGUGACUUCAAAAUCUACAGUGCCAUAUUUAGUCGCACUUUGUUUACAUGAUUGGGGCUACAUUCCAGAAACUAUGCUCUGGUGGUUGCAAAAUUAUAGUGGCUAGCUGGGACAACUAAUUCAUUUCUUGAUUAAAGAGAACUAGAUUAUUGUCCUGUUUUAGUGGUUCUAGGUUAUUGUAGUAGUAUAACUAGGCUUCGUUUACACAGAAUCCAAAUAGGAUUUAAUUCGGGCUUGGUCCGAACAUGGUGUAGUAUCAUAACCGAUUAUUUGGUUGGACUGGUCAAGUGUUCUAGCAAUUCUUGAUGCAGUAUUCAUUCUAUAGUAUGUACUAGCUCUUAGACAAGGUAAUUGUUUAGCCCCUGAUUUCUUAGCUACUGGUUGGUCCUGUAAAGCUACAUCCAUUCCUUGCUUUCUGAUUAGUGUUAUUUGAAUCUAUAGUAGUGGGUAUGCGUAGAAGAUCCGCUAAUUUGAGUUUUUCUGCCUUUAUUUAUCGUGUGAUGGCCAUGGUUGGAGCUUUGCCGCCUCCAUCUCGACUCUAUUAAGGUUCCAGGUUCACCCUUCACCACUCUCCUCUUGAGGCCAAGCGAUGUGCGGCGGCUGCAGGGUCUUCCCCUGCUUUGGUGGUGGCGGGCAGGCGGUCACCCAACCAGAUCUGGCACGGUGCGCGACCUGUGGUGCAUGGCCUGGUCUGCGGGGGCGAGAGACGCAUGGGUCCUUGGUCCGGCAGCGUCGGCGGGACGCUGUGCGCCCGUCUGCUUUCUAGCUAGGUAUGUGUUUAUGCAAAAUCUACAAUGCUCCUUCAAGGUUUAUACAUCAAUUGCAAAGGGUUUUAGGAAUGCAUCACUAUAUUGUUUUGGGUUUAUACAUGAACUGCAGAGAGUUUUAUAAACCUAUCAUUAUAUUGUUUUGGAUUUAUAUAUGAACUGCAAAAAGUUUUAGGCAUGUGAAAAUCAGAGAUCAGGCGGCAGGUAUUUUUUUUCUUGUUUCCAAUGCUACCAUGAUAUUCUAUAUACUAAAAAGGACUGGUGCACACUUGCUUUGCUCCUUACUAUUUAUGAUCAGUUGCCAAACAUUAUAAUAGUAUAUACACAUUGCUUCAAAACUAAGUAUGUUCCUUGGUGAUGGUGUAUUUAUUAUGAAAAUUAAUAUGACUGCUUACCCAUGGUAAUGUUGUAUUGCUACUCGAUUACUUACCCUGUUUAUGUGACAGAUAUGGUCAGGCAAGUAUUGAGCGUCCAAUUUCAUAAAUAUUGAGCAUAUAGUUUCAACAUCAACAUAAACAUGACAUGGUCUUUGUUGUCGAGUUGUGUUUAGUUCUGUCCAUGUAGAACUUACUAGAAAUUCUUACACACAUCCUAGACAAAUAAAUACCUGCAUGCAUUUAAAUUAAGCAAUUCCAAAGAAAGAAAUAUUUCAAGUUCUUUUGUUUGUGAUGAGUUGCUCUUAGAGUCAUAAACAUACUGAUGUAAGAUGAAGUUUUUAGAGAUAGACAUAUUAAAUUUGGGUGAAAGAAGUAUACCACGGGUGAAAUAUCACGAUGGCAUUGUUAUCAUGCACUCCCUUCGUUCCUAAAUAUAAGUCUUUUUAGAGAUUCCUUUUAGUUUUUUGUAAUCGGUGGCUUGCUAAUUAGGCAAAAACAAUAUACUAAAUCAUGCCAAACAAAAGAGGCAGCCAUUUAAUCAGCAAGAUUUUCACAACAAGAUACUAAAUAUGUGGCUUGCUAAUCGGUGGCUUGCUUGCAUGAUGAUAAGUUUUGACCACAAGAAUGUUCUAACAAAUCUUAUCCUUGAUUGCAGCUAAAAGAGAACUGAUUAGGCCUCGAUCAUCCCCACCCCUGGUGCUCCUAGACGUGCUACACAUCGUCUCCUCACCUCCUUGGUCGCUUAGGUGCCAGUGGCGUUCGUUCUCGUCGGCGGGAUGGUGCAAGGCGCAACCCCGACGUGGUUCCUCGUCGGUUCGAUGGCGUUAAGGUGCAACCCCGGUGCACACUGAGUACUGCCUCAACUACAACCUCCCUCGGUGAGCUCCAUCUUCCCCUGCUCUGCUUCAGCUACUAUGUGGGACAUGGCCAGGGCUAUGAUGAUCAGUUAUGGCUGAUAUAGGCAUGCUCUCGAGCAAUCGAGGCACUUGUGGGUAUUAAUUUGGAUCCUCCCUCAUUUCUUUGAUUUGUUUUGAUCACGUUCUUAUUUUAGUGGCUCUGUCCUUGGAUGGUCAUUUCUGAUGAGUGAUAACCAGGGUAGUUUCACCCUCGUAAGAACAUAUUGAUUUGGUGAUCCAUCCAGAAAUAAGACUCGCGGCAAGUUCCCUGGCUCCUCAGAUCUCAGCCACUUUGGCCGUCGGAUCAAUUUCCUGAUGCGACUCUGGCCGUCGGAUCUCGCUCUGGAUUGUUCUCGGCCGUUUGAUCGAGCCCGAGCUCCUGCGGCAAUGAAUAGUUACUCCCACGGUGAGAUAUCUCAUGCCACCCCGUUUGAAUCACGUGCCCCAUUGGUCGGAAGCCAUUCUUGCUAGGGUGAUGAUGAUUAGCAUGGCUGAAAUAAGUGUGCCUCUAAGCAAGCGAGGCACUUGUGGGUAUCAAGUUGGAUCCUCCCUCUUGUCUCUAGAAUCCUUUUUGAUCCUCUGAUACUUAUUGUUCUGUCCUUGGAUGGUCAUUCUUGUUGAGUGCUAUCCAGGGCAGCUCCACUUAAUAAACAGAUUGAUCUGGUGAUAAGAGACGAUGGGGUUAGAUUAUAUGAUCGAGGAAAGGCAAAUCUGAGCCCACUAUGCACUGAAACCUGAACCCUUUUUAUUUGUAUUUAAAGGUGUUGCUUAUUUAUGCUCCAGUGUUUAUAGCCGUCUUAUGUAAAGAUUUCUUCUCUCUCAUACCUUUAUUGCAUAUAGGUUGUUCUUAAUUUUUAUUUUGGUCCUUGAUCUAAUCUGGUUAAGAGUAAGUUGCACUUUGUUAUUCUGGGAUAAGCGAUGGUUCGACAAUGCUAUUGGUUCUUCAUGAGGAGUUCACAGGAGGAUUUGUGAUAUUAUUUUAUUGUUAACGAGUCAUGCUAGUAAGCUUUGUUGCAGGUACCCACACUUCUCUCUUCCUCCUGAUUAGCCUGGUCUCUUUUCUAUACGUGUCUACAAGUUGUGUGUCUACAAGCUGUGAAUUACAUAUGUAAGUGUUAUGUUGGAUCAUUAGAUUGUUGCGGAGAUAUUAUAUACAGGGUGUCAGGGUGUUAAUUGUUCUUGCUUGCUUGCCGCUUAUCUGCAUAGUGAUGCAUUGCUUUUAGUUUUUCUGCUUGCUUAGUUGGCUAAAAAGAACAUCAAUGUACAUGGUUGUUGUACUGCAUGAUGCUACUUCUUGAGCUUGCAUUUGUUUUUCCCUGAAGAGGAAAGAGUGAUGCAGCAAAGUAGAGAUAAGUAUCUCCCUCGGUUAAGAACCAAGGUAUCAAUCUAGUAGGAGAUACAAGCAAGUCUCCAAUCUAUGCACCUGCACAAACAAUCAAAUACUUGCACCCAACGCGAUAAAGGGGUUGUCAAUCCCUUCACGGUCACUUGAAAAUGUGAGAUUUGAUAGAGAUAGAUAUAAAAGAUUUCUAAAACAUAAAAUAAAAUAAAAGUAAAUAGAACUCGGCGAGGUAUUUUUGUGUUUUUUGGUUUAUAGAUCUGAAAAUAUAUGAUGGAAAAUAGACCCGGGGACCAUAGGUUUCACUAGAGGCUUCUCUCUUGAAAGAAAAUAAUAUGGCGGGUGAACAAAUUACUGUCGAGCAAUUAAUAGAAAAGCGCAAAGUUAUGACGAUAUCCAAGGCAAUGAUUAUGAAUAUAGGCAUCACGUCUAUGUCAAGUAGACCGACUCCUGCCUGCAUCUACUACUAUUACUCCACACAAUUACCGACUCCUGCCUGCAUCUAGAGUAUUAAGUUCAAGAUAACAGAGUAACGCUUUAAGUAAGAUGACAUGAUGUAGAUGGAUGAACUCAAGAAAUAUGGUGAAAACUCCAUCUUCUUACCCUUGAUGGAAACAAUACAAUAUGUGCCUCACUACCCCUACUGUCACUGGAUGAGGACACCACAAGAUUGAACCCAAAACUAAGCACCUCUCCCAUUGCAAGAAAUACCAAUCUAGUUAGCCAAACCAAACUGAUAAUUCGAAGAGAAAUACAAAGAUAUCAAAUCAUCCAUAUAACAAUUCAGAGAAGAUUCAAAUAAUAUUCAUAGAAAAAUCUGAUCAUAAAUCCACAAUUCGUUGAAUCUCGAUAAACACACCGCAAAAUAAUAUUACAUCGAAUAGAACUCCAAGAAUAUCAAGGAGAACAUUUUAUUGAAGAUCAAAGAGAGAGAAGAAGCCAUCUAGCUACUAGCUUUGGACCUGUAGGUCUGUGGUAAACUACUCACGCUUCAUCGGAAGGGCAAUAGGGUUGACGUAGAAGCCCUCCGUGAUUGAAUCCCUGAAAGUCCAACUAAUCCCCGGGUGGUUUUGGUAAUUCAUAACAACAUAUAGCUCAUUGAACUAAUAUCCAUUCAAAUUAAAUAUUUCAGAAAGUUCAAUGAUUGGCAUGGCAUGGACUAGAGAUGUGGACCCUUCAAAAUGCUAAGGACAAAGAUUGGCAAAAUCUCAAGACUCUUUAUCUUCAUUUUAGUGAUCCAAGAUCACAUUGAGUCCAUAGGAAAGACAAUACUAUUAAAAUGGGAUGAGUUGUUGCUUAAUAGUCUACUUGCUCAAAGUGCUUAGUGAUAUUGCUCCAAAACCCUCAACCACUUUCUCAUUUCCACAUAUGUCCAAAACCCAAAGUCAAACUCGUCCCCGCCUAUUUGAUCCAUCUGGCGCCACGGAGUUCAUUUGACAUAGCCACUGCAAGAAACCCUAGACAAUUCGAUCUCAUCAAUAAGGAUAUCGGUCUCACCGAGAUGGCAUUGCAAACUCUCUGUUUCCCUUCGUAAUCUUUUGAUCUCACUGAAAUGAGCGAUCGGUCCCACCGAGUUCGCAUUGCAAACUCUAUAUUUCCCUUCAUAACAUUUUGGUCUCACCGAAAUGAGCGACCAGUCCCACCGAGUUUGCUUGACCAACUCUUUGUUUGCUCAUUGCUGAAAUCGAUCUCACCGAGUUCAUGCAAUCGGUCUCACCGAGAUGAAAUUUUGGCCUAGCCCUAGCACAUCAGUGCCACUGAGUUGAUUCAUGUCGGUCCCACCAAAAUUCCUAACGUUCACAUUUUGAACUAAAUCGGUCUCACCGAGUUCAUCUAUUCGCUCUGACCGAGUUUGGUCAAAUGUGUGUAACAGUUGGAUUUUGUGUGGAGGCUAUAUAUACCCCUCCACCCCCAUAUCCAUUUGAGAGAGAGCCAUCAGAACAUGCCUACACUUCCACUACUUAUUUUUUGAGAGAGAACCACCUACUCAUGUGUUGAGACCAAGGCAUUCCAAUCCUACCACUAGAAUCUUGAUCUCUAGCCUUCCCCAGGUUGCUUUCCACUCAAGUCUUCUUUCUACCAUAGCCAAAUCUGUGUGAGAGAGUUGGGUGUUGGGGAGACUAUCAUUUGAAGCACAAGAACAAGGAGUUCAUCAUCAACACACCAUCUAUUACCUUUUGGAGAGUGGUGUCUCCUAGAUUGGUUAGGUGUCACUUGGGAGCCUCCGACAAGAUUGUGGAGUUGAACCAAGGAGUUUGUAAAGGCAAGGAGAUCGCCUACUUCAUGAAGAUCUACCCGAGUGAGGUAAGUCCUUUGUGGGAUAUGACCAUGGUGGGAUAGACAAGGUUGCUUCUCUGUGGACCCUUCGUGGGUGGAGCCCUCCGUGGACUCGCGCAAUUGUUACCCUUCGUGGGUUGAAGGCUCCAUCAAUGUGGGCGUACGCUGGCACCACAUAUACGAACCACGCCAAAAAUCUCCAUGUCUACAUUGCGUUUGCCUUCUCCAAACCCUUCCCUUUACCUUCGUAUGCAAUGUUUUACUUUCCACUGCUACACUCUUAGAAUUGCAUGUGUAGGUUGAUUGCUUGACUUGUGCUAAGUUGCUAAAAUCUGCCAAGACUUAAAAUUGGGAAAGGCUAGAUUUUUAUUUGGUCAAGUAGUCUAAUCACCCCCCCUCUAGACCUACUUUCAAUCCUACAAGUGGUAUCAGAGUUUUGGUCUCCAUUUUCCUUUAUUUCCAUAGCUUUUGGUGAUCAUAGCCUUGGUUUCACAACCUAGGAGAGUAUGGCGUCUAGUGAGGGAAAUUACCACCGUAGAGGUCCUUACUUUGAUGCUACUAAUUUUGCUAGUUGGAAGCAUAAGAUGAAAAUGCAUAUUCUUGGUCAUAGCCCCGCCGUUUGGGCUAUUGUGCAUAUUGGUUUGCAAGGUGAAUACUUCGAGGACGGAAGAGAACCGGAUCGUGAAGCAUCCGCGGAAGAAUUGAAGAUGUUGCAAUACAAUGCUCAACCUUGCGAUAUCCUCUUCAACGUUUGUGCCCCGAAGAAUUUAACAAAAUCAAUCGUCCUGAGAAUGCAAAGGAAAUUUGGGAUACUUUGAUUUAUAUGCAUGAAGGUACUGAGUCCGUCAAGGAAUCCAAAUUGGAAGUGCUUCAAAGUCAACAUGACAAGUUCAAAAUGGAGGAUGGUGAAGGAGUCGCUGAAAUGUACUCUAGGUUUGCUCUCAUCACAAAUGAGAUUGCCGGCUUAGGAAGCGAAGAGAUGACUGACAGAUUCAUCAUCAAGAAGAUACUAAGAGCCUUGAUGGAAAAUAUGAUACCGUGUGCACCUUGAUCCAAAUGAUGCCCAACUACAAAGAUCUCAAGCCAACGGAAGUCAUUGGUAGAAUUGUUGCUCAUGAGAUGUCACUCAGGGAUAAGGAAGAGCUUCACAACAAGUCUAGUGGUGCUUAUAAAGUUUCAUGUGAUGCUCCUACAACAUCAAGUGAAAAGCAAGUCUUCGAUGAAGAAUUGAGCUUAAUGGUGAAGAACUUCAACAAGUUCUACAAGAGUAGAAGCAAAGAGAGAAGUUUCAAGUCAAGGUCCUACAAUGACAAAAGAUCUUCUAGUCGUGAUCGCAAUUGCUACAAUUGUGGAAGACCCAGACACUACUCCAAUGAGUGUACGACUCCCUACAAAAGAAGAUAAGACUCACCUAAAAGGAUAAGUAAAAGAGAUGAAUCACCACCAAGAGAGAGAAGGAAUAGAGAUGAUCGUUAUGAACGAAGACACUCUCGUAGAAGCAAGGAUUCAGAAAAGAAGGACAAGUCAUCAAAGAGAUACACAAGACGAAGACAUCAAGCUCACAUUGGUGAAUGGGUAUCAGGUUCCAACUCCGACAACUACUCCGAGAGAAGUUAUCACUCCGACUCCGAAUAUACUCAAGAUGAAGGUGUUCCCAGUCUUGCACUUGUGUAAUCCAACUCCUACGACAUAUUUGACUCACCAAAUGAAGCCAUUGGAAGAUGCUUCAUGGCUAAAGGCCCCAAGGUAUCACACCCCGAGUAUGUUGAUUUCAGUAGUGAUGAAGAUGAUUUGCUAGGUGAUGAUGAUUUACUAUUAACAACACUAGUGAUGAAAACUAUGAUGAACUUGCUAUUAAUCAUGCUAAUCAAGAUGAAAAUAAUGAAAAUGACAAGAAGGAGAUUGAGUGUCUAACUAAAUAACUAAACACUCUUAAGUUAGCUCAUGGAACUACUUUAGAGGAUCAUCGAGAGCUUUUAAAGACUCAUGAGAAGCUACACUUUGAGAAGCUCAAUUUAGAGCAAGAGCAUGGGUUCUUAAAAGCAAUCAAUGAUGGUCUUCGAAAGAAAAGUUCUUACAUUGUCAAGCAUUUGCUCUUGUCUACUUACAUGCCACAAGUAAAAUCUAGCAAUAAGAGCAAGAAAGAUUCUUCUUCUAGUAGUAACAAUAAUCAUGGUAAAUCCAAUAUUGUUGCUUCUAGUAGUUCUCAUGAUUCCACUAAUGAUUCUCUUAGCCAAGUUACACUUGAGCAAGAAAAUAGCUUAUUGAUGGGAAUUAUAGAGAAAGGUGUUUACAAGAGCCUUGUCAGAAGGCAAUUUGAGGAAAUUGUAAGCAAGCAAGGAAGGUACCGGAAGAAUCAAGGUGUUGGUUUUGAACGGAAGUUCAAUGCCAAUGGAGUUGAGUGGGAAGAAGAUCAAUACCCCAAGAAGAAGUUUGUUCCUCAACAAGAGAAGUAUGACCCUAUUUCUUUCAAGGGAACACACGCUCAAGAUGAUCUUCCACCACAAGACCGCAAGCUAAAAGGCAAGGACAAGAUUCAAGAGGAGAUUGAUGCAUUUGAAGAAGCUCCUAAGGCCUUGGUCAAGUGGGUUCCCAAGACUACAUCAAGUUCUACUUCAUCAAGUACGACUACAACUCCAAGGAUUCCCAUCAAGUUGAUGUGGGUCCCAAAGAAGAAGAACUAGAGAGUUCUUGAGGGUGACUCCGCCAACAUACUUCACUCGUAUUCAUUUUGGCAAGGACAAGUGCAAUCAACUUCCAUAUCUUGCACUAGUUCAAGGAGUCACAAACCCACUUGUUGGUAAGUCAAGGGACAAGGUAACCAAAUGCUUCUGUGGACAUCAUGAUAUGUGUACUUCACUCUAUGUCUAUGGAUAUCCUUGCUUGUUCCUUGUGGGACUAACCCAUGUAGGUAUUGAAAGUGUAACUCACUUCAAUGGAUUACUCCAAAUUAUCUACAUCAACACUAAGCAUCCACAUCUUCAACAUCUACAUGAAGUCAUCAUCGACAAAACCCAAGGUUAGUUCAUCCCUCUAAGGGGGGAUAUCACAUCUAGGGGGAGCUUUGCUCUGAGAAUUGAGCUAAAGCAACUCUAAUGGUGUGAACACAACAAUGCUUUAUGUAAAAGUGGUAAACCCACUUGUGCUUAAACAAUGAGUAUGACCUAUGAUCAAAUGUUCUCUGACUCCUAAGUCAAUACACUCAUGUAUAGAUGACCUUGUAAUCACCAAUUGCUUGAUAGAUGCUAGAGUGUUUGUUCAUGCUUUGCCACAUAUUUCAUUUGCUAUCUUAUUGUGUGAGCAUGUUGGUUGUAUAAUUUUCUCCAUUCAAGGACAUCCAUUUGUUGCCUUGAUUGAUUGAGUUUUUAUUUUUGCCAAAUGGAUGGACAAGAAUGCCUAAGUACUCCCUCUAACUAUCAAUGCUUUUAUAAUCUCAAACUAUCAUGCUACAUCACAAAGCUUGAACAAGUCAAAUUCGGACCCUCCGGGCGAGGAGCACUCGGAGUCACCAAUCCGUCAAGGGCUUAAACUUCCAAAACCUCUUAAUGCAUCUCGGUCAUACCAACUCAUCCACUCGGUCUCACCGAAUUCAUUAAGUUGAUCUAGGUUUUCACCUCGGUGCAACUGAUUUGAACAAUUCGGUCACACUGAGUUGCAGUAACUGCUAGCAGUUUUGCAUCUUGGUGCCACUGAGUCGUUCCACUCGAUCACACCGUUAAUGACUGGGUAUAUAUAUCGUGGGUUGAAAUUUUGGAAAAUCCUCCAAACCACUCGUCCGUGCCUCCCAGCUCUGCCACCCCCUUGGUAUCCGGAUCGUCUCUGUCGUCGCCAACGUCCUCCUGCCGCUGGUCUUCAUCGCUGUCAAUGGAAAUCUCACCAUCGUUGUCGCCGUAGCAAGUUCGUCGCCAAGUUAGGGUACUGACUCGAACUCUUUGUGCGUUCCUUUGUCCGAUUCUUGCAUAAAGAUCAUUGCCAUUAUUCUUAUCAUGAAUGAGAUCUAUAUAUCCACCAAAAAGUUACAUUAGAAUAGAUUUGAUGCAAAAACUUAGGGUUAGGUUUCCGCCGAACUCAUCUCGUACGGGACGAUAUGAGGAUCUCGGUUUCACAUAUUUCGCUCAGGCCAUUGCACAACUACAACUCGGUCUGACCGAAGCAUACUAAUCGAUGUGACCAAAAUCACUCACUUUGUGAAACCCUGAUACGUCUCCAACGUAUCCAUAAUUUAUGAAGCAUUCAUCCUAUUUAUUAUCUGUUUUGGAUGAUUACCAGCUUUAUUAUACACUUCUAUAUUACUUUUGGGACUAACCUAUUAACCGGAGACCCAGCCCAUAUUGUUGUUUUAUUGCCUGUUUCAGUAUUUUGAAGAAAAGGAAUAUCAAACAGAGUCCAAACGAAAUGAAACCUUCGGCAGCGUGAUUUUUGGAACGAACGUGACCCAGGAAACUUGGGGUGCAAGUCAGGGGAGCAUCGAGGAAGCCACGAGAUAGGGGGGGCAUGCCCACCCCCCUGGGCGUGCCCUACCCUCUCGUGGGCCCCUCGAGGCUCCCCCGACCAACUUCUUUCGCCUACAUAAGCCUACAUACCCUAAAAACAUCAAAAACGAAGAUAGAUCGGGAGUUCCGCCGCCGCAAGCCUCUGUAGCCACCAAAAACCUCUCGGGAGCCCGUUCCGGCACCCUGCCAGAGGGGGAAUCCAUCACCGGUGGCCAUCUUCAUCAUCCCGGCGCUCUCCAUGACGAGGAGGGAGUAUUUCACCCUCGGGGCUGAGGGUAUGUACCAGUAGCUAUGUGUUUGAUCUCUCUCUCUCUCUCUCUCUCGUGUUCUUUGCACGAUCUUGAUGUAUCGCGAGCUUUGCUAUUAUAGUUGGAUCUUAUGAUGUUUCUCCCCCUCUACUCUCUUGUGAUGAAUUGAGUUUACCUUUGAAGUUAUCUUGUCGGAUUGAGUCUUUAAGGAUUUGAGAACACUUGAUGUAUGUCUUGCCGUGCUUAUCUGUGGUGACAAUGGGAUUUCACGUGCCACUUGAUGUAUGUUUUGGUGACCAACUUGCGGGUUCCGCCCAUGAACCUAUGCAUAGGGGUUGGCACACGUUUUCGUCUUGACUCUCCGGUAGAAACUUUGGGGCACUCUUUGAAGUACUUUGUGUUGGUUGGAUGAAUAUGAGAUUGUGUGAUGCAUAUCGUAUAAUCAUGUCCACGGAUACUUGAGGUGACAAUGGAGUAUCUAGGCGACAUUAGGGUUUUGGUUGAUUUGUGUCUUAAGGUGUUAUUCUAGUACGAACUCUUGAAUAGAUCGAUCCGAAAGAAUAACUUUGAGGUGGUUUCGUACCCUACCAUAAUCUCUUCUUUUGUUCUCCGCUAUUAGUGGCUUUGGAGUGACUCUUUGUUGCAUGUUGAGGGAUUGUUAUAUGAUCUAUCUAUGUUAUUAUUGUUGAGAGAACUUGCACUAGUGAAAGUAUGAACCCUAGGCCUUGUUUCCUACCAUUGCAAUACCGUUUACGCUCACUUUUAUCAUUAGUUACCUUGCUGUUUUUAUAUUUUCAGAUUACAAAUACCCAUAUCUACCAUCCAUAUUGCACUUGUAUCACCAUCUCUUCGCCGAACUAGUGCACCUAUACAAUUUACCAUUGUAUUGGGUGUGUUGGGGACACAAGAGACUCUUUGUUAUUUGGUUGCAGGGUUGUUUGAGAGAGACCAUCUUCAUCCUACGCCUCCCAUGGAUUGAUAAACCUUAGGUCAUCCACUUGAGGGAAGUUUGCUACUGUCCUACAAACCUCUGCACUUGGAGGCCCAACAACGUCUACAAGAAGAAGGUUGUGUAGUAGACAUCAAGAUCUUUUCUGGCGCCGUUGCCGGGGAGGUGAGUGCUUGAAGGUAUAUCUUUAGAUCUUGCAAUCGAAUCUUUUUGUUUCUUGUUUUAUCACUAGUUUAGUUUAUAAAAGAAAACUACCAAAAAAUGGAUUUGAGUUUGUCUCAUAUGCUUCAUCUUCUUAAUAUCGUUCGUGAGUAUGAUGGAAAGGAAAAUUGUGAUCAAGUGCUAGAAGAAGAAAUCUAUAGAAUGUUGGGCACUAAAUCUUUGUAUGAUGAGCAUGAUUGCAAUGUUGUUAGUAUGAAUUCUUUGGAUACUGAUGAUGCUAAUGAUAUGCAAAGCCACAAGCUUGGGGAAGCUAUGUUUGAUGAAGAUGAUAUUUUUUGUCCCCCAAGUUUUGAUGAGAAAAUUUAUUAUGAUGAAAGCAUGCCUCCUAUUUAUGAUGAUUAUAUUGAUGAAAGUGGGUUUGGAAGAGUGUCAACUUUAGGAAGUAGUGAUCCCACUAUUUUGGAGGAUGUUGAAUCUUAUUGUGAUGAACAUGAAAGUGGAUUUGGAAGAGUGUCAACUCUAUUUAGUGAUGAUUCCACUAUUUUGGAAGAGGUUUCAAUCGAUUAUGAUGAGAACGAAGUUGCUACUUAUGAUGAUUAUUGUGAUGAAACUUAUGCUAUAAAAAGUAGUGAUGAUUAUAUUUGUAAAUCUUGUCAUGAUUAUGAUUACCCUUUUUCUGAACAUUACUCUUUUAAUGUGGAAACAAUUUUUAGUGUUCAUGUCUCUUAUGAUACUCCCACUAUUCCGAAUGAGAAGAAUUUUGCUUAUGUGGAGAGUAGUAAAAAUUCUAUGCUUGUAGAUCAUGAAAGGAAUGCUUUAGGUGCUGGUUAUAUUGUUGAAUUCAUUCAUGAUGCUACUGAAAAUUAUUAUGAGGGAGGGAUUUAUGCUUGUAGGAAUUGCAAUAAUGUCAAGUUUCCUCUCUAUGUGUUGAAAAUCUGGAAGCCAUGCUUGUGUUACCUUCCUAUGCUAGUUGAUAAUUGUUCCCAUAAGUUGUUUGAUCACAAAAUCCCUAUGCAUAGGAAGUGGGUUAGACUUAAAUUUGCUAGUCAUAAGCUUCAUGAUGCUCCCGUUAUGUUUCAUUUCUUAUCUUUUAUGUGAGCAUCAUCGUCAUCAUCAUGCCUAGCUAGAAAGGCAUUAAAGAAAAGUGCUUCUUCGGAGACAACCCAAUAUUUAUCCUUACUGUUUUUGUGUGUUCACAUGAUUAUGCUACUAUAGUAAUCAUGUUUUAUAGCUUUUGUUUCAAUAAAGUGCCAAGUAAGAUCUUUAGGAUGGCUUAGGGUGAUAGUUGUGUUGAUCCCGCUGAAAAUCAGAAACUUUUGCACCCAGUAAAUUAGUUUUGUUAAUUCACCGAAAUGUGAUUUUGAUCUGAUUAUUUUUGAUAUGGAUUGGUACACAAAUUUCUUAGGAAUUCCUAAUUUGGUAGGAUUUUUGGAGGUCCAGAAGUAUACGUUUGAUACAGAUUACUACAGACUGUUCUGUUUUUGACAGAUUCUGUGUUCUAUGUGUUGUUUGCUUAUUUUGAUGAAUCUAUGAGUAGUAUCGGAGGGUAUGAACCUUAGAUAAGUUGUAGUAUAGUAUAUAUUACACCAAUAUUAAUUUAGAAUGAGUUCAUUACAGUACCUAUGUGGUGGUUUUAUUUUGUUACACUAACGGAGCUUACAAGUUUUCUGUUGAGUUUUGUGUUGUGAAGUUUUCAAGUUUUGGGUAAAGAUUCAAUGGACUAUGGAAUAAGGAGUGGCAAGAGCCUAAGCUUGGGGAUGCCCAAGGCACCCCAAGGUAAUAUUCAUGGACAACCAAAAGCCUAAGCUUGGGGAUGCCCCGGAUGGCAUCCCCUAUUUUGUCUUCGUUCAUCGGUAACUUUACUUGGAGCUAUAUUUUUAUUCACCACAUGAUAUGUGUUUUGCUUGGAGCAUCAUUUUAUUUUGUUAGUAUUUGUUUUCUGUUAGUUAGAAUAGUGUUUUGCAUCUUUAUUUUGAAUAAAAAUGUCAAGGAUAGCCUUUGCCAUGCUUAUUUUGCUAGUAUACAUGUUGCUGUUUGAAAACAGAAAGUUUAUCGCUGUUGCAAAAAUUACCUAGAAAAGUAAGAGAAUGGUAUAAUGUUGAUUUUUUUUUCAUAUUGAGCUCUGAUAAAUUUAUUACAGUGUGAAUUUUCUUUCAUAAUUUUUGGAGUUAGGGAAGUAUGAUGAAUCUUGCAUUCUUUACAGACUAUACUGUUUUGACAGAUUGCUGUUAUGGUUGCAUUGUUUGCAUAUGUUAGCUUGUUUAAUGAUCCUAUUUGAGGAUAGGAGUGUUAAAUAUGCAGAGGCAUUUAGUAUGCAAUGUUGAAUAAUAAUUUUAGUGAUUUGUUACAGUAGAAAAUGAUAAGGUUUUGCAUUGGUUUAUACUAACCUAUCUCACGAGUUCUUGUUGAGUUUGGUGUGGAUGAAACUUUUUGACAAAAAGAGAAACCAUAAUAUGAGAGGAAUUAAGGAGACACAAAAGUUCAAGCUUGGGGAUGUCCAAGGCACGCCAAGAUAAUAUUUCAAGAAGUCUCAAGCAUCUAAGCUUGGGGAUGCCCCGGUAGGCAUCCCACCUUUCCUCUUCAACAACUAUCGGUUAGUAUUGGUUGAGCCUAAGUUUUUGCUUCUUCACAUGAGUUGUGCUAUACUUACAAUGUCAUUUUAUUUUGCUUUUCUUGCUGUUUUAAUAAAAUAGCAAGAUCUGGAAAUCUUUAAUGAGAGAGAGUCUUCACAUAGUUACAUAAUUAUUUAGCUACUCAUUGUUCUUCACUUAUAUCUUGUUGGAGUAGUUUGUCAUUUACUCGUGUGCUUCACUUAUAUCCUAUGAGUAAAUUGUUGAAUGAGUUGAUUGUCAUAAAUCUGAAAUUAUAUAUGUUUCAUUUGCUUAUCCCAUGGGGAGUUAUGACUUCACAUCUAAGAAGUAGAGGUUGUAAAUUUAUUGAAGGUUAGCAAGCAUUGUAUUGGUCAUUUGAACAAUUCAUGAAAGAAUAUUGAAGGAAGAGAGAUUUCAUAUAUAAAUACACUAUCCUAGACACCUUUUAUAAUUGGGAGCACUCAUUAAGUAUGACAUGAUAAAGAGUUGAUGUUGGACAAGGAAGACAACGUAAUGGGUUAUAUUUUCACACAUCUCAGUUAAAGUAUAUUGUCAUGGAUCAUUCAAACAUGUUGAGCUUGCCUUUCCCCCUCAUGCUAGCCAAAUUCCUUGCACCAAGUAGAGAUACUACUUGUGCUUCCAAAUAUCCUUAAACCCAGUUUUUGCCAUGAGUGUCCACCAUACCUACCUAUGGAUUGAGUACGAUCCUUCAAGUAAGUUGUCAUCGGUGCAAGCAAUAAAAAUUGCUCUCUAAAUAUGUAUGAUUUAUUAGUGCGGAGAAAAUAAGCUUUAUACGAUCUUGUUAUGGAAGCAAUAAAAGCGACAGACUGCAUAAUAAAGGUCCAUAUACAAGUGGCAAUAUAAAGUGACGUUCUUUUGCAUUAAGAUUUUGUGCAUCCAACCCUAAAAGCGCAUGACAACCUAUGCUUCCCUCUGUGAAGGGACUUUACUUUUAUGCAAGAGUCAAGGUGAUCUUCACCUUUCCCUUUUUCAUUUUAUCCUUUGGCAAGCACCACGUGUUGGAAAGAUCCUGAUAUAUAUAUCCAAUUGGAUGUAAGUUAGCAUGAACUAUUAUUGUUGACAUCACCCAAAGGUGAAUACGUUGGGAGGCAACAGUAUAAGCCCCUAUCUUUCUUAGUGUCCGAUUAAAACUCCAUAACCAUUAGUAUUGCGUGAGUGUUAGCAAUUGUCAAAGACUAUAUGAUAGUUGAGUAUGUGGAGUUUGCUAAAUCAAAGCUCUGACAUAGACCCUUCCUGAAAAUAAGAUGAAUUGUAGUUGUUUGAUGACUAUGAAUGAAGUUUGCUAGUUUAUGGUCUAUGCUUUCAACAUGUGAAUUGCUUGUUACUUGUUCGUGAGAAGUUUUAUGAGAUGAACUACUGUUAUGACAUAUAAUCAUGCUAGAAAAGGUGAUUGAAAUUAUCAUUGAUCAAACUGGUGCACCUUCUAGCAUUCACACUUCAUAAAUUCUUUCUUUUAUCAUUUACCUACUCGAGGACGAGCAGGAAUUAAGCUUGGGGAUGCUGAUAUGUCUCCAACGUAUCCAUAAUUUAUGAAGCAUUCAUGCUAUUUUAUUAUCUGUUUUGGAUGAUUACGGGCUUUAUUAUACACUUUUAUAUUACUUUUGGGACUAACCUAUUAACCAGAGGCCCAAAUCAUAUAGCUGUUUUAUUGCCUGUUUCAGUAUUUCGAAGAAAAGGAAUAUCAAACGGAGUCCAAACGGAAUGAAACCUUCGGCAGCGUGAUUUUUGGAACGAACGUGACCCAGGAAACUUGGAGUGCAAGCCAGGGGAGCAUCGAGGAAGCCACAAGAUAGGGGGCGCGCCCUACCCUCUCGUGGGCCCCUCGAGGCUCCCCCGACCGACUUCUUUCGCCUAUAUAAGCCUACAUACCCUAAAAACAUCAAAAACGAAGAUAGAGGAGUUCCGCCGCCGCAAGCCUCUGUAGCCACCAAAAACCUCUCGGGAGCCCGUUUCGGCACCCUGCCAAAGGGGGAAUCCAUCACCGGUGGCCAUCUUCAUCAUCCCGGCGCUCUCCAUGACGAGGAGGGAGUAGUUCACCCUCGGGGCUGAGGGUAUGUACCAGUAGCUAUGUGUUUGAUCUCUCUCUUUCUCUCUCGUGUUCUUUCUAUGGCACGAUCUUGAUGUAUCGUGAGCUUUGCUAUUAUAGUUGGAUCUUAUGAUGUUUCUCCCGUUCUACUCUCUUGUGAUGAAUUGAGUUUCCCCUUUGAAAUUAUCUUGUAGGAUUGAGUCUUUAAGGAUUUGAGAACACUUGAUGUAUGUCUUGCCCUGCUUAUCUGUGGUGACAAUGGGAUUUCACGUGCCACUUGAUGUAUGUUUUGGUGACCAACUUGCGGGUUCCGCCCAUGAACCUAUGCAUAGGGGUUGGCACACGUUUUCGUCUUGACUCUCCGGUAGAAACUUUGGGGCACUCUUUGAAGUACUUUGUGUUGGUUGGAUGAAUAUGAGAUUGUGUGAUGCAUAUCGUAUAAUCAUGCCCACGGAUACUUGAGGUGAAAAUGGAGUAUCUAGGUGACAUUAGGGUUUUGGUUGAUUUGUAUCUUAAGGUGUUAUUCUAGUACGAACUCUUGAAUAGAUCGAUCCGAAAGAAUAACUUUGAGGUGGUUUCGUACCCUACCAUAAUCUCUUUGUUUGUUCUCCGCUAUUAGUGGCUUUGGAGUGACUCUUUGUUGCAUGUUGAGGGAUUGUUAUAUGAUCUAUCUAUGUUAUUAUUGUUGAGAGAACUUGCACUAGUGAAAGUAUGAACCCUAGGCCUUGUUUCCUACCAUUGCAAUACCGUUUACGCUCACUUUUAUCAUUAGUUACCUUGCUGUUUUUAUAUUUUCAGAUUACAAAUACCCAUAUCUACCAUCCAUAUUGCACUUGUAUCACCAUCUCUUCGCCGAACUAGUGCACCUAUACAAUUUACCAUUGUAUUGGGUGUGUUGGCGACACAAGAGACUCUUUGUUAUUUGGUUGCAGGGUUGUUUGAGAGAGACCAUCUUCAUCCUACGCCUCCCACGGAUUGAUAAACCUUAGGUCAUCCACUUGAGGGAAAUUUGCUACUGUCCUACAAACCUCUACACUUGGAGGCCCAAGAACGUCUACAAGAAGAAGGUUGUGUAGUAGAAAUCAAACCCUAGCAUCUCGGACUCACCAAACUGCAUUUUGGUUUGACCGAAAUUGUAGGUUUAGAUUAUGUUGCUGCUUUGGUGUCAUCGAGUUUGUCAUAUCGGUAGCUCUGAAAUGCUUUCUGCAGAAAACCGAAGUUAAGUUUUUGCCUCAUUUAAAAAAAAAUAGAUGUGCUUUGUGAUGCUCAUCCAUUCUACCUAUACCUAUCUAUUCACAAGGUUAGUUUCAGAGAUGUCAGAGGGCAAUGAUAGUUAGAACAAGUCUGAGGAGCAGGUGAAUCUCAGUGAGGGCACUAGUCCCUCCAAUAGCAGUUAUGAUGAUGGUAGCAGAAGCACUCCAAGCAACUUGCCUAAGGCUGCUGAGGUAGUCCUGGAUUCGGGGGUCCUCGGGUGUUCGGCCUAUUCGAUAUGGGUCAGACUGAUGGGCCGUGAAGAUAAAACAAAAGACCAUCCCCCGUAUCCAGGUGGGACUCCUAUAUGCGUGGACGGCAAGAUUGGUGUCCAGCUGUACUAUUUCCUUUGCUUGUAAACUGAUUCUGUACAACCCUAGGUCCCUCCAGUGUCUAUAUAAACCGGAGGGUUUAGUCCGUAGAGGCCAUCAGAAUAAUCAUAGGCUAGACAGCUAGGGUUUAGCCAUUACGAUCUUGAGGUAGAUCAACUCGUGUAACCCCUAUACUCAUCGAAUACAAUCAAGCAGGACGUAGGGUUUUACCUGCUUUAAGAGCCCGAACCUGGGUAAAGACCAUGUCCCAUUGUCCCUUGUUACCAUUGAUCCUUAGACGCACAGCUUGGGCCCCCUACCCAAGAUUUUCCGGUUUUGACACCGACAUUGGUGCUUUCAUUGAGAGCUCUACUAUGUAGUCUCAAAAAGCGAUCUGUGGCUCACCUUGUCAUCAACGAUGACAUUACCUCUAGAAGGAGCCUGACUUCAGGAUAGAUCCUCCAGCUAGGCGAUUUCACCACAGGGGCCCGUACGACCAUUAAGCCAACAGCACCCCCACGAUCGCCAAACACCACCUCCGCAUCGGUCUCGAGUACUCCGAAAAGAUGGAUCCGAUAGAUGUAUUGUCCUUAAACAAGCUGCUAGAUCGCAUCUCCGCCCUGGGGGUUUCAAUGGACUAUGGUCGGAUCGGGAUUAAACCUGACCAGAGGGAAAUCAAUCUCCCGCCGAUCACCCACCUGGUAGUGCUCGUCGAAAAACGAGUCAAUGACACUUCUUCCCCUAUGUUAAAAACCAGAUAUGUUCGGGUCUCCGAACCCCUCGAGCCGCAUACCCUUCCUUCGAAGGUGAUUCCGCGUCCCUCGAACUCAGGGUCGGAAAUAGGGUCUGAGGAGCAGUUGGAUCUUGCCGGACCAGAACUGGCGACCUCGGAGAUUUUGCAUGCUUCAGACAUAGAUUUGGGUCGGGAUUCAAAUUUUAGCCCAUCAAUAGUCUCCGAACACUUCAAGCCCUCCAGACAUAUAUGACCUGAUGUAUGUAGGGAAGCAACCUCAGGAAACGGUCCAUCACUUGUGGGCCAAGUUCCUACUUGUCAAAAAACAAGAUUAAAUAUUGUUGCGACGACGACGCAUUCUCGGUUUUUCACCAUACUGAUGAGGGAAUUCGGAAUGCCCUCGACCGCCGUCGCAUACAGAGUUUCACAGAACUAUCGCAUCUAGUGCGGAAAUACUGCGAGAUGGAAAGCAUAUGGAAGUCCCAGAAAACCCAACUGGAACCAACUGCCCUCAAGCAGUAUGCGGCCCAGGCUAAACGGAUACACCCUUAUGAGGCAUCCGGCCAUAAGCCCGCCGGCCGGAAAAACAAACCCUUUACGGGAUACAGGUCUGUUCUUGAUGAACUCCUCGAUAAACCCUGUCAAUACACUCGACCCCAAGCACAGACUCAACUCACAACCUCCGUGCAUGUUGGGUACUCCGACAGGUAGCUAAGAGUAGGGAGGCGAUCCUCUCCAUCACCACUCCAGAGAAAUACUCUCCGAAGGAGGACGAUUUUAAUGUUCUCAUGGUCUUCGAGAUCUUAUCUUCAAAUAAUCGGCGUAAAAGGGCACCCCGCAACCUCGCCGAAGUCCACCAAGUACCUGCACUGAGCCCAUGGAACGACGCGGCAAUAACCUUCACCACCAAUGACAAACCAAAGGCCCGAUCAGUCCGAGCACCCACUGCUCUAGUACUAAACCCCAUUGUGGAUGGCUUUCGACUCACCAAAGUGCUCAUGGACAACGGAAGUGGCCUCAACCUCAUCUACGAGGACACACUCAACAAAAUGCAGAUUGACAAAACACGCAUCGAGCAAAGCAGCACCACCUUUCAAGGCAUCAUCCCCAGUCAAGAAGCUCGAUGCUCCGGGAGAAUUAAAUUGGAUGUAGUAUUCGGCACACUGACAAUUAUAGGUCCGAAGAGUUUCUCUUCCAUGUGGUCCCCUUCAACAACAGAUAUCACGCCAUCCUCGGGCGGGAUGCUUUAUCAUGCUUCCAAGCUAUACCCCAUUACGGGUACAUGAAGCUUAAUAUGCCAGGGCUCAAUGGAAUAAACACAAUUUCGAGUGACCCGGAUAAAGCACUCUGUGCCGAAAAUAAGACCGCAUCCUUGGCCCUUGAGGCACUAUCCGAAGCCUUAGCGGCCGAAGAACUAACCAACCUACGAUCCACGGUGGACAAGGAUGAUAUGAUUCUCGAUAAGAGACCUAAAUCCACUUCUUUCAAGCUACCAGAUGAAAUAGUUAAAUUUCAAGUGCACCCGACGGACCCUAAUAAAACAAUGUCCAUCGGAGCACAGCUGGAUUCGGCAGUAGACGCCACCUUACGCGCAUUCAUGCGCGAAAAAUGGGAUAUCUUUGCAUGGCACCCUUCAGAUAUGCCCGAGAUCCCACGCAAACUGGCCGAACACAUCCUCAACAUAAUUAAAGGGUUCAAACCAGCCAAGCAAACGCUAUGGCGAUUUUCCAAACCCAAGCGACAAGCUAUGGGGGAAGAGCUAGCCAAACUUCUCGAGGCCGUGUACAUAAGAGAAAUCAAACACCCGGAUUGGCUAGCCAACUUGGUCAUGGUGCCAAAGAUGGAUAAAUCUUGGCGCCUUUGUGUCGAUUUCAAAGACCUUAAUAAAGCUUGCCCCAAAGAUCAUGUCUCGUUGCCCCGCAUUAACCAGAUCAUCGAUGCGAUCGCAGGACACAACUCACUAUGUUUCCUCAACGCUUACUUUGGAUACCAUCAUAUUAAAAUGAAGGAGUCCAACUAGGACACAAUGGUGUUCAUCACCCUGUAUGGCCCUUUCGGUUUCAACACUAUGCCUUUCGGCCUUAAAAAUGUUGGUGCCACUUACCAAGGCAUGAUUCAAACAUGCUUGGAAAAACAAAUCGGCAACACAGUUGAAGCAUAUGUGGAUGAAGUGGUCAUGAAAACCAAACACGUCGACUCACUAGUGGACGAUCUCCGCCUCACCUACGAUAACCUCCAAACAUACGAUAUACGGCUCAAUCCGGAAAAAUGUGUCUUCGGUGUCCCGGGCGGAAAGCUACUAGGGUUCAUUGUUUCCCAUAAAGGAAUUGAAGCAAACCCAGCUAAGAUCCGAUCCCUGUCACAAUUGGCUAUACCAAUAGACCGAAAGCAGGUCCAAAAACUAGCAGGGUGCAUAGCGGCUUUAAGCCGCUUUAUCUCCAGAUUAGGUGAAAAAGCAUUACCACUUUACAUACUGCUUAGAUGCACCGACAACUUUGAAUGGGCGGACGCUGCCACAGCCGGAUUGGAACAAAUAAAAACCUUACUAGCAGGCAACACAAUCCUAGCUGCCCCGGGUGUUGGCGAACCUAUGUUGCUUUAUAUUUCCGCAACUCACCAGGUAGUAAGCGUUGUACUCGUUGUUGAGCGAGGGAAGAGGGGCAUAAAUUCCCCAUCCAAAAGCCAGUCCAUUACGUAUCGGAGGUCGUCACACCAUGCAAAUCCCGAUACCCCCACUACCAAAACAUAGCUUGUACGGUCUUUAUGGCAUCCUGAAAACUUUGACACUAUUUUCAGGAGUGUUCGAUCACGGUCGCAUCUGAAGUACCACUUAACGACGUUAUCAACAAUAGGGACGCCACUGGUCGCAUAACUAAAUGGGCCAUUGAGAUCUUACCGUUCGAAAUAACAUACAAGCCAUGCCGAGCUAUUAAAUCUCAGGUGUUGGCCGACUUCGUCGUCGAGUGGACGGAAGCCGAGCUCCCUAAAGAAUACAUUUCAUACUCCAACUAGAUCAUGUACUUCAAUGGCUCUAAAAUGCUAUCCAGAUUGGGGGUUGGCGUCAUUUUGACAUCCCCUAUGGGGGACACAGUCUGCUAUGUGUUGCAAAUCCUGUAUACAGACUCUAAUAGUGCAGCCGAAUACGAGGCGCUUCUACAUGGUCUCCGCAUGGCUGUUUCCAUGGGUAUACAAUGCCUAGAGGUACGCGGUGAGUCAAAACUCGCAAUAUCUCAGGUAAAUGGAGAGUUCGAUGCAAAAGAUCCAAAAAUGGUGGCAUAUGAAAUGUCCUAUUAAAAAUAUUGGCUCGGUUUGAGGGGCUUGAAUUCCAUCAUGUCGCUUGAGAUAGUAACCAGGCAGCCGACAUCCUCGCUCGCAUGGGCGCCAAGCACGACCCCGUCCCACCUAAUACCUUUGUGAAAAGGCUAUUUAAGCCAUCUAUGGUGUGGUAGGGAGAGAACGGCGAUGCUAGUACAGACCUAGUCACACACCCAGCAGCCGAACACAAUACAUAUAUCAUUGGAGGUUCGGAUGUUGAAGUAACACCCUCUGCUCAUGAGAUCAUGGCUGUUAUUGCUCCAUGGAUCAAACCUUUGCUGGCCUAACUUAAUAGGCAGGAGCUUCCUGAUGACCAAAAUGAGGCUCGUCGCAUAGCUCGGCGUUCUAAGGCCUACAAAGUUCACGAAGGUGAACUGUACAAGAAGAGCACUACUGGAGUUCUCCAAAGGUGCAUCUCCGAAGAGGAGGGAUGGCAGCUCUUGGAGGAAAUACAUGCUAGUCUGGGCGGUCAUCAUGCUGCAACUCAGGCACCCGUAAGUAAAGCUUUUCGGACGGGUUUUUUUAUGGCCAAUGGACCGAGGAGACGCACAAGCCCUUGUCCAACAUUAUGUGGGCUAUCAGCUUUUUGCCAAUCAAAGUCAUAUGCCUCCCACUUCCUUAAGAACAAUCCCCAUCACCUGGCCCGUCAUGGUCUGGGGGCUUGAUAUGGCUGGACCACUUAAAGGGGGAAGCCAUAAAAAGAAAUAUUUACUGGUGAUGGUAGAUAAAUUCACUAAAUGGAUAGAGGCCAAACUAGUAAAAAUAGCCGAAGCAGGGCCAGUGAUUGACUUUAUAUCCAGUGUGGUGCACCGCUACGGUGUCCCACACAACAUCAUCACUGAUAAUGCCUCCAAUUUUAUAGCUGAUGAGGUGAAAAACUGGUGUGCUAAGUUGGGCAUUAAACUCAACUAUGCAUCUGUCUACCACCCUCAAACAAACGGUCAGGUUGAACGGGCCAAUGGCCUGAUAAUGGCUGGCAUCAAGCCCAGACUGGUGCGCUCCUUAUGAGAAUCAGACAAGCACUGGGUUGAGGAACUCAAUUCCGUACUCUGGGGGUUGUGGACCAUGCAUAAUCGAACGACCGGAUACACACCUUUCUUCAUGGCAUACAGCGCAGAAGUUGUCCUGCCCUACAACAUUAUUCAUGACUCACCUUGAGUGCGCAUGUAUGAAGAGCGAGAAGCCAAGCUUGAUCUGUAGGAUGACCUAGACCGACUCGAAGAGGAGCACGAUGUUGCGAAAAUCCAUUCCACAUUUUAUCAACAACAGGCCAGGCGAUACCAAAGCAGAGAAGUGCGGGCCAAGACAUAUAAUGUCGGUGACCUUGUCUUACGUCUCCCGGAGAAGAAGAAGGAUAAGCUCAAACAAAAAUGGGAAGAUCCCUUCAUCAUAGAUGAAGUUCGUAUAGGAGGAGCCUAUCGCCUUCGUAAUGCAUCGGAUAAUCGCCUUGAGCCGAAUCCAUGGAACGCCGAUCGGCUCCGAAGAUUCUAUGGAUAGUUCGGUCGCACUCUCUUUAUUUUUUACUUUGAAUAGGUUUCUCCUUCUCCUCUCCUUAUUUUUUUCGUUUUUAUAUCCCAGGGCAUGUUCGGAUCAACCGAACUGUUCGGGGUACACAUCUUUAAAUGUAUACACCCCACUAUAACUGGGGGCUUAUUUAAUGAAGCUUAUUGUUAAAAGCUUGUGGCUUACACUAUCUAUGUCUUACAUCUUUUUGACAUUAUAUGCACCUCUAUGACUUAAGUUUUUGCCAAGAUGGGUUGCCUCGCUCCUGUGCUUAUACCCUACAUUCCCGAUUGUUUGGCUAGGGUGUAAAGGGAGUACCUCUGUGAUUGUUACAACCAGGUAAUCCGGAUAUGUACCUCAGACGGGUGAAGCCAAAGGCUAGCGUUCUUAAGGGAAUAUUUGGUCGGCAAGCAAUGACGGACUAAUUAUGUUUACAUAAUUCUUCUAAACAAAUACAGGAUAGGCUGCCCGUAAUUCAGAUUCAAGCCUAGGCAUGCAUAAUUCAACAUACCGACCCAAGGAAAGGAACCCCUAAUGGAACUAUUUUCCCUGGAAGAUGUUUCUUACGUUAAAUAGUAAUAUAACAUAACUCCCUGAACAAAUUUUGUCCGUUUGAGCAAUAUGACCGGAUUGCCUGGUUUCUAGACAUACUGAAUGGUUAUUACAUUCCAACACAUUAUCCGGAAACACUCCAACUUCUUGGUUCAGAGGUGGAAGCCGAAGGCCUGCGAUGACAAAUUUUGACAAGUUCGGCCAGAGAUACAGUUCGAUGAUAAAGUACAUUGGUACAUAGAAUCGAACGCCUACUCUUUCUCUAUGCCAUAUAUCAGACUAUCUAACCUAUAGUCUUCUUGCGAAUAUUUCGCAGCUAUCAUCACUUGAUUGUUGCAAACUCUUGAGCUUGGGUUGGUUUUCCCUUGAAGAGGAAACGGUGAUGCAGCAAAGAACCGUAAGUAUUUCCCUCAGUUUUGAGAACCAAGGUAUCAAUCCUGUAGGAGACGAUGCACAAGUUAUCAAAUACCUGCACAAACAAUCAAGAACUUGCAACCAACACGAUAAAGGGGUUGUCAAUCCCUUCAUGGUCACUCGCAAAAGUGAGAUCUCAUAGAGAUAGAUAAACGGUAAAGUAAAUAUUUUUGGUAUUUUUGGGUGUAUAGAUUGGAAAGUAAAGAUUGCAAAAUAAUAUAUCGCAAACUAGUAAGAUGUAAAUGAGAUUCAAUAUAAUGGAAAAGAGACCCAGGGGGCCAUAGGUUUCACUAGUGGCUUCUCUCGAGAUAGCAUAUAUUACGGUGGGUGAACAAAUUACUGCUGAGAAAUUGAUAGAAAAGCGCAUAAUUAUGAUGACAUCUAAGGCAAUGAUCAUGAACAUAGGCAUCACGUCUGUGUCAAGUAGACCAACUCAUGCCUGCAUCUACUACUAUUACACCACACAUCGACCGCUAUCCAUCAUGCAUCUAGAGAAUUAAGUUCAUAAAGAACGCAGUAAAGCAUUAAGCAAGAUGGCAUGAUGUUGAGGAAUUAACUCAAGCAAUAUGAUCAAAAUCCCAUCUUGUUAUCCUUGAUGGCAACAAUACAAUAUGUGUCUUGCUACCCCUACUUUUAGUGGGAAAGGACACUGCAAGAUUGAACACAAAGCUAAGCACUUCUCCCAUUGCAACAAAUAUCAAUCUAGUAGGCCAAACUAAACCGAUAAUUCGAAGAGACUUGCAAAGAUAUCAAAUCAUGCAUAUAAGAAUUCAGAGAAGAACCAAAUAAUAUUCAUAGAUAAUCUUGAUCAUAAAUCCACAAUUCAUCGAAUCCCAACAAACACACCGCAAAAGAGAAUUACAUCAAAUAGUUCUAAAAGAACAUCAAGGAGAACUUUGUAUUGAGAAUCAAAGAGAGAGAAGAAGCCAUCUAGCUAAUAACUAUGGACCCGAAGGUCUGUGGUAAACUACUCACGCUUCAUCGGAGAGGUAAUGGUGUUGAUGUACAAGCCCUCCGUGAUCGAAUCCCCCUCCGGCAGAUCAUCGGAAAAGGCCCCAAGAUGGGAUCUCACAGGUACAGAAGGUUGCAAUGGUGGAAAAGUGGUUUCGUGGCUCCCCCUGAUGUUUUUAGGGUAUAAGAGUGUAUAUAGGCGAAGGCACUAGGUCAGGGGAGCUACAAGGGGCCCACGAGGGUGGGGGUGCGCCUACCCCCCUGGGCGCGCCCUCCUGCCUCAUGGAUGCCUUGUUGCCUCUCCGACUUCAUCUCCAAGUCUUCUGGUUUGCUUUCGGUCCAAGAAAGAUCAUUGCGAAGGUUUCAUUCCGUUUGGACUCCGUUUGGUAUUCCUUUUCUGCAAAACUCUAAAAUAGGCAAAAAAGUAGAAACUAGCACUGGGCCCUCGGUUAAUGUGUUAGUCCAAAAAAUAAUAUAAAAUAGCAUAUUAAAGCCCAUUAAACAUCCAAAACAGAUAAUAUAAUAGCAUGGAACAAUCAAAAAUUAUAGAUACGUUGGAGACGUAUCAAGCAUCUCCAAGCUUAAUUCCGCCUCGUCCUUGAGUAGGUAAAUGAUAAAAACAGAAUUUUUGAUGUGGAAUGCUAUCUAACAUAUUUAUCAAUAUAAUUUUCUUUAUUGUGGCAUGAAUGUUCAGAUCCGAAAGAUUCAAGACAAAAUUUUAAUAUUGACAUAAAAACAAUAAUACUUCAAGCAUACUAACAAAGCAAUCAUGUCUUCUCAAAAUAACAUGGCCAAAGAAAGCUAUCCCUACAAAAUCAUAUAGUCUGGCUAUGCUCUAUCUUCAUCAAAAAAUAAUUAAUCAUGCACAACCCCGAUGACAAGCCAAGCAAUUGUUUCAUACUUUUGAUAUUCUCAAACUUUUUCAAUCUUCACGCAAUACAUGAGCAUGAGCCAUGGACAUAGCACUAUAGGUGGAAUGGAAUGGUGGUUGUGGAGAAGACAAAAAGGAGAAGAUAGUCUCACAUCAACUAGGCGUAUCAACGGGCUAUGGAGAUGCCCAUCAAUAUAUAUCAAUGUGAGUGAGUAGGGAUUGCCAUGCAACGGAUGCACUAGAGCUAUAAGUGUAUGAAAGCUCAAAAAGAAACAAAGUGGGUGCGCAUCCAACUCGCUUGCUCCCGAAGACCUAGGGUGAGGAAGCCCAUCAUUGGAAUAUACAAGCCAAGUUCUAUAAUGAAAAUUUCCCACUAGUAUAUGAAAGUGACAACAUGGGAGACUCUCUAUCAUGAAGAUCAUGGUGCUACUUUGAAGAACAGGUGUAGAAAAGGAUAGUAGCAUUGCCCCUUCUCUCUUUUUCUCUCAUUUUUUAUUUAUUUGGGCCUUCUCUCUCUUUUUUUGGGCCUCUCUUUUUUUAUUUCUCGUCUGAAGUCUCAUCCCGACUUGUGGGGGAAUCAUAGUCUCCAUCAUCCUUUCCUCACAUGGGACAAUGCUCUAAUAAUGAAGAUCAUCACACUUUUAUUUACUUACAACUCAAGAAUUACAACUCAAUACUUUGAACAAAAUAUGACUCUAUGUGAAUGCCUCCGGCGGUGUACCGGGAUGUGCAAUGAUUCAAGAGUGACAUGUAUGAAAGAAUUAUGAAUGGUGGCUUUGCCACAAAUACGAUGUCAACUACAUGAUCAUGCAAAGCAAUAUGACAAUAAUGAAGCGUGUCAUAACAAAUGGAAUGGUGGAAAGUUGCAUGGUAAUAUAUCUCGGAAUGGCUAUGGAAAUGCCAUAAUAGGUAGGUAUCGUGGCUGUUUUGAGGAAGGUAUAUGGUGGGUGUAUGGUACCGACGAAAGUUGCGCAGUACUAGAGAGGCUAGCAAUGGUGGAAGGGUGAGAGUGUGUAUAAUCCAUGGACUCAACAUUAGUCAUAAAGAACUCACAUACUUAUUGCAAAAAUCUAUUAGUUAUCAAAACAAAGUAUUACGCGCAUGCUCCUAGGGGGAUAGAUUGGUAGGAAAAGACCAUCGCUCGUCCCCGACCGCCAGUCAUAAGGAAGAUAAUCAAUAAAUAUAUCGAAAAAUAAAAAGCAGGGCAAUCUUUCAAACUUGCAUCCGAAAUGUGAAAUAUUUAUACAAAGAGGGAGAGAUGAAGACAAUGCAGCAGGGUUGGUUAUCUAAUUGGCUAGUCAAACAUGAGGUGGUUCAUCUCCAACUUCAUCACAUAACGGUUCACCAUACGUGCAUGCUACGGGAGUCACAAACUUUAACACAAGUAUCUCUCAAAUUCAAAACUACUCUACUAGCAUGACUCUAAUAUCACCAUCUUCAUAUCUCAAAACAAUCAUAAAGAAUCAAACUUCUCAUAGUAUUCAAUGCACUUCAUAUGAAAGUUUUUAUUAUACCCAUCUUGGAUGCCCAUCAUAUUAGGACUAUUUUAUAACCAAAGAAAAUUACCAUGCUGUUUUAAAAGACUCUCAAAAUAAUAUAAGUGAGGCAUGAGAGUUCAACAAUUUUAUAAAAUAAAACCACCGCCGUGCUCUUAAAAUAUAUAAGUGAAGCACUAGAGCAAUAUUGUCUAGCUCAAAAGAUAUAAGUGAAGCACAUAGACUAUUCAAAUAAAUCCCGAUUCAUGUGUGUCUCUCCCCAAAUGUGUGUACAGCAAGGAUGAUUGUGGUAAACUAAAAAGCAAAGGCUCAAAUCAUACAAGACGCUCCAAGCAAAACACAUAUCAUGUGGUGAAUAAAAAUAUAGCCUCAAGUAAAGUUACCGAUAGACGAAGACGAAAGAGGGGAUGCCUUCCGGGGCAUCCCCAAGAUUAGGCUUUUGGUUUUCCUUGAAUUUUACCUUGGGGUGCCUUGGGCACCCCCAAGCUUAGGCUCUUGCCACUCCUUAUUCCAAAGUCCAUCAAAUCCUUACCCAAAACUUGAAAACUUCACAACACAAAACUUUAACAGAAAAUCUCAUGAGCUCCAUUAGUAUAAGAAAAUAAAUCACCACUUUAAGGUACUGUUUUGAACUCAUUAUUUAUUUAUAUUGGUGUUAAACCUACUGUAUUCCAACUCCUCUAUGGUUCAUACCCCCCGAUACUACUCAUAGAUUCAUCAAAAUAAGCAAACAACACGCGAAAAACAGAAUCUGUCAAAAACAGAAUAGACUGCAGUAGUCUGUAACUUUCUAAUACUUAUGUAACUCCAAAAUUUCUGAAAUAAAUUGGUGGACGUGAGGAAUUUUUCUAAUAAUCUUCUGAAAAAAUAAUCAACCUAAAAACACUCUUCUAUAAAUAAUGACAUCUAAUCUUGUGAGCGCAAAAGUUUAUGUUUUUUACAGCAAGAUCACAUUGACUUCACCCAAGUCUUCCCAAAGGUUCUACUUGGCACAAAUACUAAUUAAAACUUAAAACCAUAUAUAACCAGAGGCUAGAUAGAUUAUUUAUUACUAAACAGGAUAAAAAAUCAAAGAACAAAAAUAAAAUUGGGUUGCCUCCUAACAAGCGCUAUUGUUUAACACCCAUAGCUAGGCAUUGAUAAUUUUAAAGAUGCUCACAGAAUUGAAGCACAAAGAGAGCAUCAUAUAGCACAUGACAAACACAUAUAAGUCUAACAUGCUUCCUAUGCAUAGGCAUUUUAUAAGCAAACAAAUUAUCAUGGCAAGUGUCAGUGUCAAAACCGGUGGAUCUCGGGUAGGGGGUCCCGAACUGUGCGUCUAAGGCUAAUGGUAACAGGAGGCGGGGGACACAAUGUUUACCCAGGUUCGGGCCCUCUCGACGGAGGUAAUACCCUACUUCCUGCUUGAUUUAUCUUGAUGAUAUGAGUAUUACAAGAGUUGAUCUACCACGAGAUCAUAGAGGCUAAACCCUAGAAGUUAACCUAUGAUUAUGAUUGUUGUUGUCCUACGGACUAAACCCUCCGGUUUAUAUAGACACCGGAGGGGGCUAGGGCUGCACAGAGUUGGUUACAGAGAAGGAGAUCUACAUAUCUGAAUUGCCAAGCUUGCCUUCCACGCAAAGGAGAGUCCCAUCCGGACACGGGACGAAAUCUUGAAUCUUGUAUCUUCAUAGUCCAACAGUCCAGCCAAAGUACAUAGUCCAGCUGUCCGAGGACACCCUAAUCCAGGACUCCCUUAGUAGCCCCUGAACCAGGCUUCAAUGAUGAUGAGUCCGGCGCGCAGAUUGUCUUCGGCAUUGCAAGGCGGGUUCCUUCUCCGAAUACUCCAUGAAAGAUCUUGAACACAAGGAUCGUGUCCGGCUCUGCAAAACAAUUUCCACAUACCACCGUAGAGAGCAUAAUAUUCCACAAAUCUAAUCAUCUGACAACUCUUUAUAGCAUGACAUCACGUCGCGGCCCGGUCAUUACGAACCUUUUUUUCCCAGCCUGCCACUGCACGUGUUACGAGGCUGUUUUAUUGGCACGUCUUGUCGAAGCAGAGAUCGUGUUCCCCUUAUCACGGGAUUCUCAUCAAUACGGGUGUGGGUAACCCAACCGUGCUUGUUAGUAUGACUCCUCGAUUUUAGGCAAGUUCCAAACGGCCGGGCGGAGGACGCUUGAUAUUCACCCCCUUUAUAAAGGGGCCAAGGCCUGUCUUUUUCUUCCCACGCUCGAUCCUUCCCUUCCCCCACCUCGAGUUCCAACACCCAAGGCUUAGGCUAAGCGCUUCGAACCUUCCACCAUGUCCGGAUCCAACUCUCAAGGUCGGUGGAUGGCCUCCUCUAUCACAGAGGAGGACAUCAAGAAGCUUAGGGAGGCUAGGUAUCUGACCGCUGAAAUCCCUCACAGGCUGCCUGCUCAAGGGCAGGUCUUCCCCACUCCCGAACCCCACGAGAGUGUCAUAUUUGUUUCCCACUUCCUCCGAGGGCUAGGCUUUAGUCUUGAUCCUUUUGUUAGAGGGCUCAUGUUCUAUUACGGUCUAGAUUUCCAUGAUCUAGCUCCGGAUUCCAUCCUUCACAUCUCGUCGUUUAUCGUCGUGUGUGAGGCCUUCCUCCGCAUCACCCCACACUUUGGCUUGUGGCUCAAGACCUUCAAUGUGAAGCCGAAGAUGAUCGAUGGGCGACACAUAGAGUGCGGAGGCGCUAUAAUAAGCAAAGGCGCCAACGCCCUAUGGCCAAAGGGUUCCUUCUCGAAGGUGUAUGGCUUAUGGCAACGGGAGUGGUUUUAUAUCACAGCUCCCCGAGGUACAAAGCGGGCGGUCGCCCCUACCUUACGCUCGGGCCCUCUGCCUCAACUGGCGUCAUGGGUCAACAAGGGACUGGAUUGGGGGCUAGUUAAUGAUGUGUUGACAUUGCAAAGCCGCAUCCGAGAUCUCCUCAAGAGGGAUGUCAGUCUUAUCAAGGUAAUGCAAGUUAUGCUAGUUCGUCGGGUCCUGCCAUGCCAACGCCGAUCUCUCUGUAUGUGGGAGUUCAACCCGGAAGGACCGCGAACUAUUCAACAAUUCUUCGGCGUGACGCUCGAAGAGAUGUAUGGAUUGUUCUUCGGAUCACGAAUAAAGUGUCCGGAUACCACCGAGGAUGCGGGUCUAAACUACAACCGUCCAGAUACCCAAGUAAGUAGUUCCGCGACCGAACAUGCUAUCUUUUUACUUGUCACAACAUCAUUCUGAAAUAUUGCUCUCGGCCAGGACUGGAUAAGAAAGGCGGAGAGGAUCAGGUGUUCGCCCCCCUUCCCUAAGGAUCGCCGGAUCCUGUACUAACCAGGAUGCUCGAGCGCGCGCCCUAUAAGGUGCCCUCAGGAGAAGAUUAAGGGAGCAAUAGAGAAGCCAAAGGCGGGCUUCAUACCUUACACAUCCAAACCGGGGGAGUAAGUGCCUCCGUGAAGGAGAAUAAUUGGGGAGGUGAAUCUAGAGUCCACUCUCCUCACGGAAAGAAAAGGGCCACCUCUAAAGACUUGGAAACGGAGUUUUCCAAACGAGGGAAGAAACCUUCGCAAGGGGGCCCUGAGGGAGUCCUGGAUUAGGGGGUAUCCGGAUAGCCGGGCUAUAUACUUUGGCCGGAUUGUUGGACCAUGAAGAUACAAGACUCAAGACUUCGUCCCGUGUCCGGAUGGGACUCUCCUUUGCGUGGAAGACAAGCUUGGCGAUCCGGAUGUUAGAUCCCCUUCUUUGUAACCGACUCUGUGUAACCCUAGCCUCCUCCGAUGUCUAUAUAAACCGGAGGGUUUAGUCCGUAGGACAACAACAAUCAUAAUCAUCAUAGGCUAGCUUCUAGGGUUUAGCCUCUACGAUCUCGUGGUAGAUCUACUCUUGUAAUACUCAUAUCAUCAAGAUCAAUCAAGCAGGAAGUAGGGUAUUACCUCCAUCGAGAGGGCCCGAACCUGGGCAAAACAUCGUGUCCCCUGCCUCCUGUUACCAUUAGCCUUAGACGCACAGUUCGAGACCCCCUACCCGAGAUCCGCCGGUUUUGACACCGACAUUGGUGCUUUCAUUGAGAGUUCCUCUGUGUCGUUGCUGCAAGGCUUGAUGGAUCCUUCAAUCAUCAACAACAAAGUGGUCCAGGGUGAGACUUUUCUCCCCGGACAGAUCUUCGUGUUCGGCGGCUUCGCACUGCGGGCCAAUUCGCUUGGCCAUCUGGAGCAGAUCGACAGCUACGUCCCUGGCCAUCAGGUCAGGUUCGGAAACUUGAACUACAUGACCGAUAUCCGCGGAGACUUGAUCUUCGAUGGAUUCGGGCCUAUGCCAGGAGCGCCGAACAGUCACGACGAGCACGGCUUAGACCUGCUGUCAGACAAUACUCGGGAUAUCGCACCCGCAAGAGCUCCGGACCUAAAUCCGGGACAGAUCGCAUCGUUCGAGGACAGGUGGAUGGACCCCGCCCCGGAGGCCGCAUACUCAUCGGCGGUAGAGCCAAACAUGCACUCCACCCCCAAGGAGGUCUGUGUCACUGGACCCCCGGACUUGUGUCCGGCUGUAGGUUCCAGACCACGCGCCCCCGAGCCCGUCGAAUCUGGUUGGGCUCCGGUAAUGGAGUUCACCGCUGCAAAUAUCUUCCAGCACUCGCCCUUUGGCGACAUGCUAAAUUCAUUAAAGUCUCUCUCUUUGUCAGGAGACUCUUGGCCGAACUAUGUCCGGCUCGAGUGCGAAGCAGGCGACGAGAAAAUUCGUUGCCCACCCACCACCCACUUUAUUGCCAUAGUCGAUGAUUUGACCGACGUGCUUGUCUUCGACUCUGAAGACAUCGACGGUGUGGACGACGAUGCAGGAGAAGAACGGGAACCACCGCCCACGGGGCGCUGGACAGCCACCUCCUCGUAUGAUAUAUAUAUGGUGGACACUCCCAAAGAAACCAAUGGCGAUGAGGCAAUGGAGGAUAACCCCUCAAGUAAGAAAUCAAAGCAUGGGCGUCAUCAGCGCCGCUCCAAGCCCCGCCAUAGCAAUACCGGCACAGGAGACGAAAACAAUCCGGAUGGUGCCGAAGAUGAAUACAAUUCCGAUCAGCCUGCCUUCAAGUAGGCCGAACAGGAAGACGGGCAGGUCAGCCCAGACGAACAGGCAACGGACGAAUACUUGGAGGAGGACAACUACAUGCCCCCCCUCCAAAGAUGAGGUGAGCCUCGGUGAUGAAUUCUACGUGCCUGAGGAUCCCGUAGAGCAGGACCGCUUCAAGCGCCGGCUUAUGGCCACUGCAAGAAGCCUGAAAAAGAAGCAGCAGCAGCUCCAAGCUGAUCAAGAUCUGCUCACAAACAGAUGGACUGAGGUCCUGGCAGCCGAGGAAUACGGACUCGAGCGCCCCACCAAAGGGUACCCAAAACACAAGUUGCUACCUCAACUCGAGGAGGAGGUCCCAAAGCCCACGCCCCGACAACAAUACAUCACGGUCCGGGGCAAUACGUAGGAAAUGAGAGGCAGCAUCCAUAAACCUUGACGCAACAGACAUAAGCGUCACAAAAAUCACGAUGAUGCCCAAGACACGACAGUCGAUGCCGGAUUCCGCGGCUCUCAGUCCGCUCAGAAGAAAGAGAACAAUAUAGACCCAUCCGGCCCGGGCAGCAUACUCGACCAACCAUGUCAAAUUCAUGGUACCCCUGGAAUGGCAGCCAAUCAUACCAAUGGAGAAUGCCGGAUCUUCAAAAUAAGCUGGUCGGUCACACGCCGGAAACAUUCAAGAAGGGGUCUCAAAGCUAUGAAGACAACGAGGAGCCCAGACCAUCAAACAUUAUGAGGUAAAAGAAAAAUCCUCCGCAAACCAACAAGGGAACGAAUGUGUACUCCUCAGGAUGCCGACUUAACAAUACAAGUCACCCCACGGUACAAAAAUACGGCUGAUCAUCUCCGAUCACACAGACCGUCCAGACCAUUUCAACCAUGGCAAUUUAAUUGCACUUACCAUCGACCCAAUAGUUGGUGGGUUCCACCUCACACGAGCCCCUAUGGGCAUAAACAGCAGCCCAAACUUGCUGCGCCAGGACACAAUUCACCAGAUAGGUAUUGACCGCUCGAGGAUCAAACCCACUAAAAGCAUCUUCUCAAAGAUGUCGUUCCAUGUGCAAAGGCCAAGUUUUACAGGCCCACCACCCUGGAGGUGGUCUUCGGAUCACCAAACAAACACCAUACCGAAGAGUAAGUCUUCAGCAUUAUCCCCUUAUACAGUAACUAUUAUAUACUACCGGGACGAACCACGUUGGCUCGAUUCAACACGGUGCCACACCAUGCCAAACCCACGUGACAUAGUCACAACUAUGGGCAAGGCCGAACUCCACCCCGACACUGGAAAAUAUACCGUCGCUGUGGUAGCGAGUUGUGCCUUUCUAUCGAACCUCGAUUCGACAGCCAAACCCCCGGACACCAAUAAAGGAGUCCGAGCUACUUUACGACAUGAUAGCCCGGCUCGACUAGGAUCCAAUUAAGCACUCCGGCAUAAGCUGGGGAGGAGCCCCAAGGUUCAACGACCCUAUAACACGCAAAUGCCUCUAAACAUUUUUCUUUACAGGCUCACUUUUGCGCAGAACAGGACUGGCGACAUGGAAUCAGCUCAGACGCACGAAGCGGGAAUACACAAGUAUUCCCCAAGAAGAUAGUCCGGGUACACUUCAGAUCCGUACACAGCUUCCUCCCGUCAGGCCGCGACAGGUUCCGCCAGCAUACCUCUUUUCGUAGCAUAAACCGUACUCAUACGCAUAGACGUGUCACUCCACUACAACAUGUAGAACUGAACGACACUUACCAGCCGUCAUUCCUCAUUGACGCCUUUUUCGUCAUCACGGCACCCGCACAUAGUGUCAUGCCCCAUUAUGCCAGGGGCUUCAUUGUACUCAUAAUAUGGCAACAAAGUCCGGCCACCUUCUCGGUCGCUCGGCACCCCGAACUUAUAGCACUAUAUGCAUCAGCUCUGAAUCAUGUCUUGGGUCAUUAGUUGGGUUUGCCUGGCUCCCAUGUUUUGGUACCUUACGUUCCACUCCAUCGUCUAAGGUAGCGCUGGGAGAACUACUGCGAUUGUGUCCCGGUUCUUCCGGAUGAGCACCUAAGUAGAGAAAGCCGAAAACUGACUGUCAUGAUACGGCGAGAGCUGGUCAGCUGUUUGAGAGGUUGUAAAAUCUUUAAGGAUUUAUUACGCAUAAUGCCAUACCAAAUGCAGAGUGCGACGGAUCGGUCCUCUGAUCAGGCGCAUUUAGAGCCCCUCGUACGGUCUUCCGAACACCAGGGGUUGUGCCUACCAUACUCGAAUUCCUAUGGCUAAGUGAGAGUGUUAAAGCCCUAUAGUCCGAUUGCCUGGUUCGCUGUGAUGAACACCUCCUUCAAGGACCCAAAAAUGGGAUAAAGAGUGUUCAGGUAUGACCCGAACACCCCCGUACUUUCUACAUGGGGGCAGAAGCCGACGACUAGCCAACUCUCAGGAUUCAUAUAUAUCAAACGGCCACAGAGGAAGAAAAAACUUUCAUAUAACAGGCAAUAAAUAAUAACAGUGCCAGUGUUCCGCAUUACAAAGGACAGCAUGACUGUCUUCAGGGAAAUAUAAUGUCUUUGGUACAUUGCUCCGCCACAAGGCGGGCUCCUUUCAGGACACCAUCAUAAUAUAAUUCGGGCUUGCGGUGCUCCUUACCCUCCGGUGGUCCCUCAGUCAUCAGCUUUUUAGCAUCAAGCUUCCCCCAGUGCACUUCCGCACGGGCAAAUGCCAUGUGUGCACCUUCUAUAUAGAUUGACCGCUUAAUGACUUCGAGCCGAGGGCAAGCACCAACAAUCCGCUUCACGAGUUCGAAGUAACUGCUUGGAAUUGGCUCAGCGGGCCACAGCCGGACAACUAAGUCCUUCAUGGCUAGUUCAGCCGCCUGGUGCAGUUCGAUCAGCUGCUUCAGCUGAUCGACAAAGGGCACCAGAUAAUUCGGCGCCAAAUACUGCGACCAGAAAUCCUUUUCCACAGACUUCUUCUCCUCAGCCCGGUAGAAUUGAGCAGCAUCAGAUAUGCUGCGUGGCAGGUCUGCAAGCGCCCCUGGAGAAACAAGAAUCCAAUUUGUCACUUUGAAUUUCUCCUAUUACUCUAUAAAAAUCGCUUUGAAUAAAAAGCUUUACCAGCCGCGAUCCUCCUUGCCUCCCGAGCAUCAUUUGCGGCUUGGAGAGCUUGGGCGAGUUCGGAUUCUUUCCCUGCUAGACUCUGCUCCAAGGUCUCGCUUUUCUUCACGGCCUCCUGGAGCUCUCGUUUAGCUUCAAUGACCCUGGCCUCGUGCUUCUCGCGAAGAGCCUGCUCCACGGCGGCCCUCUUGUCGGCUUCGGCCACAGCCUUCUUUAGCGCCUCAAUUUUGGCAUUUGCUCCUAGAGCAUACAAUACAAAUAAUUUCAUCAGGCACAACUACUCAUUUGUGCUUAACUUAUCAAAGGUUUCGACAUACCUUGCUUGUCCUCCAAUUGCUUCUUCACUUGGCCAAGCUCUUCUUCGGCCCACUCCAGACUCUGCUUUAGUCCAGACACUCCCGCAGUAUGAGAGGCGGUCGUCGCUACAUACGCAUGUUUUCAAACAAAGAGAUAUACGUAAUUAACCGAGUCUCCUCGAAGGGGAAAUUUGAUUCCCUGUCUGGUUCUCUCUUUCAUCGGACAGUGCAUCAGGGGCUACUGUUCAUACUAUGACAAUCUUCAAAAGUUCCUGAAACAUACCUCAAAGCCUUUUAUAAGGCUAAUGCAGGAUUCAUUCAGUUCGCUCUUAGCAGACUGAAUCUUUUUAAUUAUCGCACCCAUAAGGGUGCCAUGUUCAUCGACGAUGGACGCUCUCUUCAACGCUGUCGAUAGGCCGCCCUGCAGCUCUGCUUGGACAGAGGUUGCUGGCGGAGCGGGCUCGCCUCCCUCCGUCAAGGGGGGCUGCCUGCUUGAUCCUGGAGCUUUAAAGGUCUGCAGGACCGUGUUCGGCUGUGGGCCGAAUCUAGGAUCGUCCCCGCUGUCGAUGUUCAUGGGAACCGUUGCUCCCGUGUAUCCGGCCUCAGAGGUGUGCCCUCCCUGGUCUAGGUCCUGCUGAGACUACACCUCGGUGUCACGCUUAGGCUUCGGGGAAGGGGCCUCCAGAGGCGUCUCGCUCUCCAGGGCAUCUGAGCUCAGCGAAUCCUCCGAUGAGGACUGUUCGACGCGAGACCUCGCCGGGCUGCACAAAGUAUGGCGCCAGUUAAACUAUUGCACCCUAGUAAUCCUGGGCGCGUGGGUGUGUUCGGAUUUCGUGUACUCAUGAUUUUACCAGGGGCUGGGCCCUGGGAUCCCACUCCGGGCUGCUAUUGGUAGCCGUGGUGGACGCCUCUGGGAGGGAACUUUUUCCCUGCUUCGAUGAUUCGGCCUCCAAGGAUGAGGAUGUCGUCCUCUUCUUUCCUCCCCGCAUGGAGGACUCGUCUUCUUCCUCCUCCUCUUCAUCUUCGGAGGAAGGAUGGGCGUUGGAGUCUUCGGAUUUCGUGUCCGAAGCACCGCGGCCACGGAGGCCGCUCCGGGCCUCCUUGGCCUCCUUGAGGGCCUCUUUCUUCGGUGCCUUGUAAGGCGCUGGGACCAGCAUCUUCGUCAGAAGUGGUCCUACCAGUUCCUCCGGCAGCGGGGCCGAACAAUGUAUCCGCCCCGGCUUCUUCGUCCAUUCCUGGGUAAUUGCGUAAGGCAUGAUAAAGCAUCUCCCUCGGGAUAUGCCAGCUAAACAUGGAUAGACAGAACAUAUCGAUAACUUACCGGACUUGCGGAGCAGGACAGUUGAUACCCGCGGUCCUCGGUGGAGUCCGGCCACGGUUUGCCAGACUUGAAGAGCACCCUCCAGAUAUCCUUGUGUGAGGAGCCGUAGAGUUCCCGCAGUGUCUGGUGCUCGGCCGGGUCGUAUUCCCACAUAUUAUAGGCCCGGUGUUGGCAAGGAAGAACUAGGCGAACUAACAUCACCUGGACUACAUUAACGAGUUUGAUGCCCUUGUCCACCACGCCCUUGACGCGCGUUUGUAUCACCGAUAGCUCAUAGGAUGACGACCGGUUCAGGCCCUUCUUGGGCCAAGACAUGAGCCGCAGGGGGGCUCCUGAUCUGAAUUCGGGAGCAGCGGCCCACUUUUUGCCGCGCGGCUCAGUGAUGUAGAACCACUGUUGCUGCCACUCCUUGACGGAAUCAUUGAAGGUGCCUGACGGCCAUGUGACCUUGGGUGUCUUGCUCACCAUGGCGCCUCCGCACUCGGCGUGCUUGCCGUUCACCACCUUGGGCUUCACAUUGAAGAUCUUCAGCCACAAGCCGAAGUGUGGCGAAAUACGGAGAAAGGCCUCACACACGAUGAUAAACGUCAAGAUGUUAAGGAAAGAAUUAGGGGACAGAUCAUGAAAAUCAAUCCCGUAAUAUUACAUGAUGCCGUGAACAAACGGGUGAAGUGGAAACCCGAGCCCACGGACGAAAUGAGGAAGAAACACGACCCUCUCAUGAGGCUCCAAAUUAGGGACAAUCUGUCCCACCGUCGGAAGACGGUGGCUGAUUUUCUUGGCCAGGUAUCCGGCCUCUCAAAGCUUUUUGAUAUCCUUCUCCUGGACGGUAGAGGCCAUCCAUUUGCCUCCUUCUCCAGAUCCGGACAUCUUCGGAGAACCUCUUUUUGGUGGAGAAGACGAGCGCUUGGGCACUAGGGCUCGAGCGAUGGGGAAUGGACGAGCAGAAGGAAAAGGCAUGGGUAAAGAAGAAGAGACCUUAUCUCUUUAUAGAGGCCAUAAAAACUUUUGCGCCUCCCUACUUGCCUGAUGGAACCUGCUCGUUCCCCACUCACCGUGAUUGGCGGUACGCUUGGGCUACCCACGCCCGUAUUGAUGAAAGCCCCGUGAUAAGGGGACACGAUCUCUGCUUCAACGAGACGUGCCUGGGAAACCGCCUCGCAAUAUGUGCGGUGGUUGGCUGUGGGAAAACGGUUCGAAUAAUGACUCGACCAUGGUGUGUUGUCAUGUUAUCUAAAGAUGUCGGCAGAUUAUAUUUGUGGAAUAUCAUUCUCUCUAUGAUGGUAUCUGAAAAUCGUCUUGCAGAGCCGGACACGGUUUAAGUGUUCGAGACUUACUUUGGAGUAUUGGGAGAUGGAACCCGCCUUGCAAUGCCAAAGACAAACUGCGUGUCUGACUCAUCGUCAUUGAAGCCUGGUUCAGGGGCUACUGAGGGAGUCCUGGAUUAGGGGGUAUCCGGACAACCGGACUAUAUACUUUGGCCGGACUGUUGGACCGUGAAGAUACAAGACUCAAGACUUCGUCCCGUGUCCGGAUGGGACUCUCCUUUGCAUGGAAGACAAGCUUGGCGAUCCAGAUGUUAGAUCCCCUUCUUUGUAACUGACUCUGUGUAACUCUAGCCCCCUCCGAUGUCUAUAUAAACCGGAGGGUUUAGUCCGUAGGACAACAACAAUCAUAAUCAUCAUACGCUAGCUUCUAGGGAUUAGCCUCUAUGAUCUCGUGGUAGAUCUACUCUUGUAAUACUCAUAUCAUCAAGAUCAAUCAAGCAGGAAGUAGGGUAUUACCUCCAUCGAGAGGGCCCAAACCUGGGUAAAACAUCGUGUCCCCUGCCUCCUGUUACCAUUAGCCUUAGACGCACAGUUCGGGACCCCCUACCCGAGAUCCACCGGUUUUGACACAGACAGGCCCCGCCCUAAAGGGCGUCCUUACUGCACAGCGCCCGCUAGGGGGCCAGCCCUCAACCAAGCUGUAAGUGAACAAAAGUACUUUGGUAAAUAUAUCCCGCUUUAUCUCUGAGAACAAUAACCGAGACACAUAUCUUGCAGUCUGGCUCGUAGCCCUUCUCAACAAAGUUCGUCUUCGAGGGAUCUUCUUCCGAAGAUGAUGGAGAGCGAAACGCCUCCUCCUGCCUCCCCGCCUAAUAGGGCGGACGACCCCGAGGUGUCGUCACGGAGGAUUUAUCCUGAUCCGAAAAGGCCAGAAGGUAACUCUUCGGCCGCCCGAAGUCUGGAGUUUUCGGCUCCCAAGGAGAGCAACAGAAAGGGUCCGGGAUUGUCCGGUGCACAAUCAGACACACUAAUGGGUCUUCUGGAGCAAGCGGCUAUCUCAGAGGCGCAUCAUACCUUAAUGGGUACGGUGAUUGAGAGGAUUUCAUCCACCAAAAGCGGGUUGAAUGAGGCUUCUACGAGCCUGCUAAGAGGCUUUGAGGUACGCAAAGUAAUAUAUAUGUAUUUUUGACGGUACCGCACACGCUAGGUGUGCUCUGUAUAGAUAGUAGCCCCUUAGACUUUGGUUGCCGUCCAGAGGUGGCAAACAGAGGAUCAUAGUCCCAGGUAAUGAUCGCACUGCUUUCAUGUGCAGGAGGCUGAGGGUCCGACGGCUAGCCGGACUGCUGAUUUUGCCGAAUUGAAGCGGCAACUUGACGUGGCGGAUGCCGACAUCGCGCUUGUGAACAAGCGGCUUGACGAGGCGCGGGGUAUGUAUUUUCAGGUGGUCACCAAGUAUUAAGAGGAGCAUGAUGCUAGUAUCUAUAAUAUGUUGUGACUGCAGAUGGAGCUGCCGCCGUGGAGACCCUUCGGGCGGAACUUGCCCGAGCCAAGGAUUAAGCCAGGAGAAGUGAUGCCUCCGCCCGAAGAGUUAAAAGCCGAACAGGCUGCUCAUCCCUAGAGCGAAGAUAAGAUAGCCAAGAUGGCUGUUGAGCUGAAAGAUGCCGCCGGUCGCUAUAAGCUCCUUGAAAAGGAAAACCAAGCAAAAGCGGCUGACCUACAGAAUGCCUUGGAAGCAGCCAAGGAAACUCGCUCUGAGAUUAGAGCGGCAAGGGAGGACUUCGUCAAGCCGGAGAUAUCAUGGCUGGAAAGCCCUUUUUGUUGCCGACGAAGUUCGGAGAUCCGAAGUAUGCCCCUCUGGAUCAAUUGUGGAGUGUUGAGGACGCGUACUUGGACUUGGCAAAGAGUGUUGCUGAUGCGACUGAAUAUUUCAAAGAUCAAAAAGGUCGUGAUGUCGAAAGGUUGUUCUGGUCGCAGUUUAGUGCUCCAAAGCAUCCACUACUGUUAAAUGAAUAGAUGGACGAGUGGGCCGAGGUCCAUAGGUUAUCCGGGCUUGCCAUGAGGUCUGUCCUGGAUCAUCUUUGGCCGAAGGGACCAAAGUCGGAUAGUUAUUUUGGCUUAGUGCAACGAUUCCUUCGUGCUGUGCAGCAUAUCGACGCUGUAAAGAGGUCAGCGUGUAUAGAGGGUGCGCGGAUGGCUCUUGCCCGAGUUAAGACAUAUUGGGCAGGGAUGGAGGCCACUGCUAUUGCAUCCCGGGGUCUGGCCAGACGCCAGGGCUUGCCCGAGCACUAUUUUGAAGAAGUCUUAGAAGGCGCCCGUUUAAUAGAGGCUCAGUGCUCGAAGAGUACCAUGUUCGAGUGACAUGUAUCUCGAUUGUAAAAACAAUGCUAUUUUCAUUAUAAGGGUUGUGUUUACACUUUUGCCCGAAAGUAUUAUAGUGCCUCCUGUGCGGCCGUUUAUGUAUGUAUGUAUAUAACCUGAAAGUUUGUAGUCGUCGGCUUCAGCCCCCACGCAUGUAAUGCGGGGGUGUUCGGUAAAGCGCGUAAGCACACUUGAUCCAACGUCUUGGUCCAUUAAGGAGGUGAUAGCGCGGCGAACAAGGCAAUCAGACUAUAUAGCUUUAACACUUUCACUUAGCCAUAGGAGUUUGAUGGUGGGGCUACUAUAUAGCUCCUGGUACUUCCGCGUUCAUCCAAAUUCGGUGCGUGUAUGUACAUGACCGAGAAACCGGCCCUUCGUUAAUGCGGAGGAAUCGUGGAGAUUCUGCUGAGUCAUCGAGUGGGUGACUAGUCUCUUGCUGUAUCAUGACAACCAGUUUUCAGCUUUCUCUACUGAGGUGCUCAUCCAGAUGAACCGGGGCACAAUCGCAGUAGUUCUCCCGGUGCCGCCUUAGCCGAUAGAGCUGAAUGUAAGGUAGCAAAACAUGGGAGCCGGGCAAACCCAAUUAUGGACCAAAGACAUGAUUCGGAGCUGAUGCAUAUAAGGCCAAACUCGCGACGCCGAACACUCCCUAAGGUAUUCGGACUUUUACAACAUAUACUGGGCUGAGUAACGCCCUUGAUAAUGAGCCCUAAAUUUCCAGAUACAUGCAUUAGUCUGGCGUGGCAAAAUGCCAAUAACGCCAGCAUCCCUCUCAGUUGCGUUGAGUGUCUGGAGGGUGUGAAGCAACAAGAGACAUUAAAAAGGGUUUACACAGGGUCUUAAUCUAAAAAGAAACCUUUGAGCGGGGCCCUGCUGCACGUCUGCGCCUUUGUCUCCGUUGUGCCAUAUCCUGGAAGGGUGUAGCACGAUGAUCAUCUGUAAAAGAAAAACCCAGGUGAAAGACUUCGUGCAAAAAGUUGGUUAUUCUUAAUGAACCAUGAAAAUGCAAUCUAUUAUUGUAUUAAUAGGGUCAAGCCGAACUAUGGGCCUAUUUAUAUGCGGGCAGCCCCUAGCACCAUCUAUGGGGGUGUAUCCAUUGACCCAAGCUCAGGUUUAUCUGGGCUGCUACAACUAGUGGUGCGCCAGACUCAUCUAACCGUGUCCGCGGUCUUGAUGACCGAUCAUUUAUUCAGGUUGGGGGGGCGUUCAGUGUUUGGCUGCUAGAGCCGCCACAUAUUCUUCCGCACGUAAGGAACGCUCUGUAUUUCCGCUAACUGUAAUGACGCCACGUGGAUCGGAUAUCUUAAGUUUAAGAUAAGCGUAGUGUGGUACUGCAUUGAAACGAAAGAAGGCCGUUCUUCUGAGUAGUGCAUGAUAGCCGCUUCGGAAUGGAGCGAUGUCGAAGAUUAGUUCUUCGCUUCGGAAAUUGUCGGGAUAAUCGAAUACAACUUCUAGUACUAGAGAGCCCGUGCAGCGGGCCUCUACACCUGGUAUUACUCCUUUAAAGGUAGUAUUGCUUUGGCUGAUUCUCGACGGGUCUAUCCCCAUCUUGCGGAUAGUGUCCUGAUAUAUCAGGUUAAGACUACUGCCGCUGUCCAUGAGGACUCGGGUGAGAUGGUAUCCAUCAAUUAUUGGGUCAAGCACCAAGGCAGCUGAUCCUCCAUGUCGGAUACUAGUCAGAUGAUCCCUGCGGUCGAAAGUGAUCGGGCAGGCCGACCAAGGGUUGAACUUGGGGGCGACGGGCUCCACAGCGUAUACGUCUUGGAGUGCGUGUUUGCGCCUCCUCUUUGGUAUGAGUUGCAUAAAUCAUGUUCACUGUCUUGACCUCUGGUGGAAAUUUUUUCUGUCCCCUAGUGUUCGGCUGGCGAGGCUCAUCCUCGUCUUCACUUGGCGUCUCCCUCCCCUUGUGUUCCGCAUUUAGUUUGCCGGCCUGCUUGAAGACCCAGCAUUCUCUGUUGGUGUGAUUUGCAGGUUUUCCGGGGGUGCCAUGAAUCUGACAUAAUCUGUCUAGAAUCUUGUUUAGGCUGGAUGGUCCAUCUCUGCUGCCUUUAAAUGGCUUUUUUUGUUGAUCGGGUCGAGAGCCCUUGAAUCCGGUGUUGACCGUCGUGUUGUCUGGGCUGUCUUCAUUAUUUCGACGCUUGUUUUUAUUGCGUCGCGGCUUCCCGUUGCCAUCCCUGACUUCGGAUGUGCCUGGGUCGCUGGUGCUGCUGCAGGCCAACCAGCUGUCCUUGCCCGCGCAAAAUCAGGUCAUAAGGCUUGUUAGGGCUGCCAUUGUCCUCAGCUUUUCUUGGCCGAGGUGUCUAGCGAGCCAUUCAUCUCGGAUACUGUGCUUGAAAGCCGCUAAGGCUUCGGCAUCCGGGCAGUCGACAAUUUGAUUCUUCUUAGUGAGAAAUCUGUUCCACAGCUUACGGCCUGACUCUCCAAGUUGUUGGAUUAUGUGACUUAAAUCUUCUGCAUCCGGAGGUCGAACAUAGGUCCCUUGAAAAUUGGCCCUGAAAGCAUCCUCAAGUUCCUCCCAACUUCCAAUUGAGUUUUUGGGGAGGCUCUUCAACCAAUGUUGACCUGGUCCUUUCAACUUGAGGGGCAGGUAUUUAAUGGCAUGGAGAUCAUCUCAGCGAGCCAUGUGGAUGUGAAGGAUAAAGUCCUCAAUCCAGAUCCUAGGGUCUGUCGUUCCGUCGUAUGCCUCUAUAUUCGCGGGUUUAAAUUCCUCUAGAAAUUCAUGAUCCAGCACCUCAUCGGUGAAGCACAGGGGGUGCGCGACACCCCUGUAUUUGGAUGUGUCGUGGCAUGUUGUCGACGGUUGUUGUGUUCGGUGUUGAUUCCAUGCUGGUAUUCAAUCAAUAUGAUCGUUUUGGUGGCUGUGAUCCUGCGCCGGAGCACGCUUCCUAGAUCCAUAGAUGGACCUAGCCAUACCGGCUUUUUUGUCCAAGAGCUCACGUAAAUCGUGUGCUGACUUGUGUGCGGCAUCAUUAGCCACCCUAUCGCGGCCACGGGGUGGUCGGUCUAGCUGAUCGGCCGUUUUUAUUUUUCGGCUGAAUGGGCUCUAUAGCCUCAUCGUCGAAUUCGGGCAGCAGCUUGAGCUUUGGGUAGCUCUUUGUGUGGCGAUCACCGCCGUAUUUUUCUUAGGUGUCGAGCACUUUGUUCCACCUUCGAUUGAGCGUAUCCUACGCGGCCUUAAGCCUUUGCUUCUGCUUCUUCAAGCUCCUCGUGGUGGCAAUAAGCCUUCUAUGGAGGUUCUCUUGCUCCAAGUGUUUUUCCGGGAUGAUGAGUGCAUCGUCGUCCGGACUGUUCUCCUCUCCGGAGACAGGUUGAUGGAUUUUACCCUCGGCAUCGCCGUGAUCGGACAUCGGCUCCGGACUAUGUUCACCGUCCCCUGGCUCAUCCUGCUCCAUUGCUGGGUCCAUGGGGUCAUCAUUUCCUUUGGAGUCGACCGGGGUAUUAUUCUUUCUUAGGCAGUUAUCGCUGUUUUUACUGUGGCGGGAUUUAGAGUGGCGCCUACGUCGUCGCUUUGGUUGCUGCACGAGGGGAUUAUCCUCUGUUACCUCAUCACCAUCGCCUUCUUUUGGCGUGUCUGCCAUAUAUAUAUAAUAUGAUGAGGUGGUAGUCCAGCGCCCUGUGGGCGGUGGCUCCUGUUCUUCUCCUGCAUCAUCAUCCAUACCGUCGAUGUCUUCGGAGUUGAAGUCAAGCGUGUCGGUUAAGUCAUCGACAAUGGCUAUUAAGUGGAUGGUGGGUGGGGAAUGAAUUUCUGUGUUGUCCGCUUCCCACUCAAGCUGGACAUAGUUCGGCCAAGAGUCUCCUACCAGAGAGAGAGACCUUAAUGAAUUUAGCACGUCGCCCAAGGGCGAGUGCUGAAAGGUAUCCAUGGAGGUAAACUCCAUGAUCGGUGCCAAAUCAGAUUCGAUAGGCACGGACGCACGCAGUUCGGAACCUAUGGCCGGAGACGAGUCCGAGGGUCCGAUGACACAGAUCUCUUUGGAGGCGAAGUCUGUGUUCGGCUCUAUCUCUGAUGAGUGUGCGGUCUCCAAGGUGGGUUCUAUCCACCCAUCCUCGGAUGGCAUGAUCUGCUCCAGAUUGAGGGUCAGGGCAGCCGCAGGUGUGAUCUCCCGAACACCAUCCGAUGGCAGAUCUAAGUCAUGCUUGACAUGGCUGUUCGGCACACCUGACAUGGGCUCGAAUCCGUCGAAGAUCAAGUCUCCGCGGAUGUCGGUAGUGUAGUUCAAGUUUCCAAACCUGACCUGAUGGCCAGGGGCAUAGCUAUCGAUCUGCUCCAGAUGGUCAAGCAAGUUGGCCCCUAGUACGAAGCCACCGAAUACGAAGAUCCAUCUGGGGAGGAAAACCUCACCCUGGAUCGCAUCGUUGCAGAUGAUUGAAGGAGCCAUGAAGCCUUAUUGUGACGGCACAGUGGAACUCUCAAUGAAAGCACCAAUGUCGGUGUCAAAACCGGCGAUCUCGGGUAGGGGGUCCUGAACUGUGCGUCUAAGGAUAAUGGUAACAGGAGGCGGGGGACACAAUGUUUACCUAGGUUCGGGCCCUCUCGACGGAGGUAAUACCCUACUUCCUGCUUGAUUGAUCUUGAUGAUAUGAGUAUUACAAGAGUUGAUCUACCACGAGAUCAUAGAGGCUAAACCCUAGAAGCUAGCCUAUGAUUAUGAUUGUCGUUGUCCUACGGACUAAACCCUCCAGUUUAUAUAGACAUCGGAGGGGGCUAUGGUUACACAGAGUCGGUUAUAGAGAAGGAGAUCUACAUAUCCGAAUUGCCAAGCUUGCCUUCCACGCAAAGGAGAGUCCCACCCGGACAUGGGGCGAAAUCUUCAAUCUUGUAUCUUCAUAGUCCAACAGUCCGGCGAAAGUACAUAGUCCGGCUGUCCGAGGACCCCCUAAUCCAAGACUCCCUCAGCAAGCAACAACUAGCAUAUGCAAGGAAGCGGAAAGAACCAAUAGCAAUCUCAACAUAACGAGAGGUAAUUUAGUAACAUGAAAAUUUCUACAACCAUAUUUUCCUCUCUCAUAAUAAUUACAUGUGGGAUCAUAAGCAAAUUCAACAGAAUAGCUAUCACAUAAAAUAUUUUCAACACGAUCCACAUGCAUGCGAAGUUGACACUCUUCCAAAAUAGUGGGAUUAACAUUAACUAGAGUCAUGACCUCUCCAAACCCACUCUCAAUAAUAUUGCAAACACUAUUAACAAUCUCAUAUUCACCAUGGGGCUUAAAGAAAUUUUCAAGAUCAUAAAAAGAAUCACCCCAAUCAUGAUCAUUGCAACAAAUAGUAGUCAUAGCAAAACUAGCAUCCCCAAGCUUGAGGUUUUGCAUAUCAUUAACACAAUUGACAUUAAGAGAAUUUAUAAUAACAUCAUUUCAAUCAUGCUUUUCAUCGAAGGAACUAUCAAGUAUGGGUGCAAUAGCAACGAUCUCAUGUUUAACAUACGGAACUAUAGUAAAUUUGUCUUCAUAAAUAUUGGCAUCAUGGCCACAAGAAUAGAAAGCAUCAUGUUCAUCAAGGGAUAUUUCAAUCAAAUCAUCAUAAUCAUAAUCAUCUAUAGAUUCAUGCAUAUCGUUAUUUUCUUCCAAAGCAAUGGUCAUUCUUUCAAUAAAUUCGUUGACAUAGACAUUAUGAGCAUAGUUUUCAUAGCAAUAUUUAACUAUGUCAAAAUUUUCAGAUUUGUAGAGAGUAAUAUCAUACUUUUCAAUAAAAGAAGCAACUUCAUAAGCACUCUUAAAAGCAAUAAAUUCUUCAAUUUGUUCGAUAUCAUAGUAACUAUAAACACCUUUGGCAUACGUACAUAGGAUUUCAUUAUCAUUAAACUCACAUAGGUAGGAAAGGUGAUUUUUAGGGUUCUUAGAGCAACAAGUAAAAUCAGAAAUUUCACAAGGAUUCCAAGCAUAGCACAAGAACCUGUUUAUUUGAUCCCAUAAGAGUCUCCCUUUUUCAGACAAACGAUGACGCACAAAAUGAGCAUGAUCAUCUAAAGAUUUUCCCUCAACUACACUAGUUGGGGUUUCAGCACGAGCACAUAUAGAUCGAAGAUGAUCGAAGUAGAAAAUUUUAAGUGGAUCCAUAACAAUAGAUUUUUAGCAAGCAAAGAUGCAAGCACAUAGAAGGCACGAGACGCAAACAAACAUAAGAUCGAACGGAAGAAGGGCGAAGAAAAGGCAAAGGCUUUCGAAAAUCGUUUUAGAAGUGGGGGAGAGGAAAACGAGAGGCGAAUGGCGAAUAAUGUAAUGCAAGGGAGGAGAGUUUAUGAUGGGUACUUGGAAUGGCUUGACUUGACAUAGACCUCCCCGGCAAUGGCGCCAAAAAUUCUUCUUGCUACCUCUUGAGCUUGCGUUGGUUUUCCCUUGAAGAGGAAAGGGUGAUGCAGCAAAGUAGCAUAAGUAUUUCCGUCAGUUUUGAGAACUAAGGUAUCAAUCCAGUAGGAAACAACGCACAAGUUACCUGCACAUCCAAUCAAGAACUUGCAACCAACGCGAUAAAGGGGUUGUCAAUCCCUUCAUGGUCACUCACAAAAGUGAGAUCUGGUAGAGAUAGAUAAAUGGUAAAGUAAAUAUUUUUGGUAUUUUUGGGUGUAUUGAUUGGAAAGUAAAGAUUGCAAAAUAAUAGAUCGGAAACUAGCAAUAUGUAAACAAGAUUCAAUAUAAUGGAAAUAGACCCGGGGGCCAUAGGUUUUACUAGUGCCUUCUCUCGAGAUAGCAUAUAUUACGGUGGGUGAACAAAUUACUGCCGAGCAAUUGAUAGAAAAGCGUAUAAUUAUGAUGACAUCUAAGGCAAUGAUCAUGAACAUAGGCAUCACGUCCGUGUCAAGUAGACCGCUCCUACCUGCAUCUACUACUAUUACUCCACACAUCAACCGCUAUCCAGCAUGCACCUAGAGUAUUAAGUUCAUAAAGAACGGAGUAACGCAUUAAGCAAGAUGAUAUGAUGUAGAGGAAUUAACUCAAGCAAUAUGAUGAAAACACCAUCUUGUUAUCCUCAAUGGCAACAAUACAAUAUGUGCCUUGUUGCCUCUAUUGUCACUGGGAAAGGACACUACAAGAUUGAACCCAAAGCUAAGCACUUCUCCCAUUGCAAGAAAGAUCAAUCUAGUAGGCCAAACUAAACCGAUAAUUCGAAGAGACUUGCAAAGAUAUCAAAUCAUGCAUAUAAUAAUUCAGAGAAAAGAACCAAAUAAUAUUCAUAGAUAAUCUUGAUCAUAAAUCCACAAUUCAUCGCAUCUCGGCAAACACACGCAAAAGAGUAUCACAUCGAAUAGAUCUCCAAGAACAUCGAGGAGAACUUUGUAUUGAGAAUCAAAGAGAGAGAAGAAGCCAUCUGGCUAAUAACUAUGGACCCGAAGGUCUGUGGUAAACUACUCACGCUUCAUCAAAGAGGUAAUGGUGUUGAUGUAGAAUCCCUCCAUGAUAGAAUGCCCCUCCGGCAGAUCGCUGGAAAAGGCCCCAAGAUGGGAUCUCACGGGUACAGAAGGUUGCAGCGGUGGAAAAGUGGUUUCGUGGCUCCCCCUGAUGUUUUUAGGGUAUAAGAGUAUAUAUAGGCGAAGGAACUAGGUCAGGGGAGCUAUGAGGGGCCCACGAGGGUGGGGGUGCGCCCUCCUGCCUCGUGGCCGCCUCAUUGCCUCUCCGACUUCAUCUCCAAGUCUUCUGGUUUGCUUUCGGUCCAAGAAAGAUCAUUGCAAAGGUUUCAUUCCGUUUGGACUCCGUUUGGUAUUCAUUUUCUGCAAAACUCUAAAAUAGGCAAAAAAACAGAAAAUGGCAUUGGUCCCUCGGUUAAUAGGUUAGUCCCAAAAAUAAUAUAAAAGAGCAUAUUAAAGCCCAUUAAACAUCCAAAACACAUAAUAUAAUAGCAUGGAACAAUCAAAAAUUAUAGAUAUUCUGGAGAUGUAUCAAUCAUAUACCAAGUUCACGGUAAUCUCUUUUCUGUCCAGUCCCUGAAGUCCAACACGGGCCAUAUGAUUCGGAUCGAGUCCGGUGUAGCGCGUUUUCACCAUCGUCCAUGCCUCUCGUGCACCUUCCUGGCAUGCUGACUCCUUCCAUAGCUCGAAACUGCACCGGGCACCUUUGAACAGGUUGGCCAACCCCUCCAUACUUUCUGGAGGGGCAUUGGAUGGCCAUAAGGCUAUGAUCAUGCUCUUCAUGGCCUUCCGGGCCCACUCGUGCACUUUAGACAGUUCUUUUAGAACGUCGCCUUGGAAUCCGGACACUUCUUCUUCGGGACUUCCGGUUAAAAGAUCUGCAAGAAUAGCAUUAUAAGACUCUGUAUUAUAAGAUUAUAUGAGUCCCCUGGAUAGUUCAAAGGACAUACCGAAUGUGCCGCCUUUCAACUUUUUGUUCUCUUCUUGCUCGGCCGAUAAUUGAGCAUUUAAGCUCUUUAUUUCUUCAGCUUGAUUAUCCCUCUCCGCCUCGAGUUUGUUCUUCCAGUCACUAGUCACCAUGAUUUUCUUCAAUUCCUCUGACUCAAAGGUGGCGACAUGUAGCUUUGUCCGGCUUGCUUCAAGCUCCUGGGACAGUGCAUUAUUCUUCUCUUGGAGAACCCGCGGGGAUAACGAUCCUUAAAUCGGUUAGUCUAAAACCCGCUUCAAGUCCCGUGGGCUACUGGUAUAUAUCUAUUAAAUUCACACAAACUAUUACCUGCAUAUCUUUUGAAAACAGGUGAACAACUCCGGUAAGUCCAUCACGGGCGGCUCGGAUAUAUGCAUCCACGGUGCUAAGGGUGGUAAAUUCCUGCUCAGUGAAAGCUGGAGCGCAGGGGCUCUUUUAGUCGCCGAUGAUUCAUCGCACUCUCCACUUCGGAAUUUGUGACGGAUACGUCAUCUGAAUCCUCAUGAGGUGGAUGAGUCGGCACCGCAUCCGUAUUGGUUCUCUUCCUAGUCGAUGAGCCCGGCGCUAGAUUGGCUGAUGCUCGGCUAGCCGGGAUUUUGGACAUGGUUCGCCGUGUGCUCCUCCUGGAAUAAGAUGGGGGGAGAAAUAUGACAAUUCGAUCUUAUGCCUAGAUGCAUAUCAAAGGUUAUACCUCUUUGAUGAUGGAGGGGGUUCGACGGCACUCCCGGUUUCCUUUCGUUUUGAAGGCCCACCAUGCAAAGAUGUUGCCUUCCUUUGGGAUGCCCUCGAUUAGGUAUGGCUCGCUGAGCAUCGAUCCAAUAAAGCAUGGUUUAGUGUGAUGGGUGAGAUGCGAGCAGGGGCUCCUCUUUUUGAGGAUGAUUUCUAAGCACUUACCUUAACGAAAGGGAGAAGGUCGGGGUAGUCGGCCGUAAUAGCCACUUCCGAGCCAUCAAGGCUUGCUUGAUAAAAGACUCCAUCAUCAAACUCUAUAGAUAUAUCCGGAUCCUCGCGGAAGCCGGGGUCUUCAUUGCGAGAGUGAUCCUAUGGUUGAGGGGAGGGGAAGUGAACGUUUUUGACUACCUUCCUCCAUGUUUGCUUUAAAAGACAACCAGAAUAGUUAGCACCCGUACAUGGAAAAACCUUGCUGACAAUUUUAGCGGAGAAGUUCUUCUUCCUCCCCCUUAUAAAGAUCUGCCAGAAUGGCGGCUAGAGCGGAUGGGGUAUCCAAACCCUUGUUCUCAUAGCAAGAUGCAUUGUCGUCUCCAUUGUAACACCGUAAAGGGUCACUCUGUACUGAAGGGGCUGGAUGCAUCGCUUUAUCGCAAUAGCCAUGACUUCGAUUAUUGAGAGUCCGAAUUGGGCAAGUAAUCUGACCUUGCUAACUAACCUCAUUACUUCCGUGCUAUCUUCUUGCUUGGGGCUCCAGGGACACCAAUUAAGUAGCUUCUUUGGAGGAGCACUGGAGAAUUUAGGAAGCCCAUGCCAAACUGGGUCCGGAAGGGGAACAUCUUCAAUGUAGAACCAUUCCGAAGACCAUUCUUCGGACCCCUUCUUGGGAGUUCCGACGGGGUAGCCUGAUCCGUCUAUGCGCCAAACUUCGGCGCCGCCCACUUCAAAUAUAGAACCACCUUGGUGGUGGGGGACGAGGCAAAAGAACUUUCUCCACAGUUCAAAAUGAGCCUCGCAGCCUAAGAAAAGCUCGCAAAGAGUGACAAAACCUGAAAUAUGCAGGAUUGAACCUGGCAUGAGGUUGUGUAGCUGGAUCCCGUAGAAUUCUAAUAGACCCCUGAGAAAGGGAUGGAUCGGGAAUCCUAAGCCCCUCAGAAAAAACGAGACGAAGCACACCUUCUCCUCCCCGCUGGGGUUGGGGAAAUUCUCUGCUAGCGCGUCGUUGCCCAUCGAGGCCAAACCCACCCGCACGGAGACUAGAUCUGCGGGAGGGAGAUCCUUGCGUAUGAAGUCGACUCAACUGGAGGUGAGACACUGUACAUCUCUGCCAAUCACCCUCUUGAGGGCCGUGAGGGCGCGAAGAGGAACUAGGGGCGCUCUCCAUGAUUUGAAGUUUUUCGUGGUUUGCUCCGAUGCUCUUUGCGCGAUGUGAGGUAGUGUUUGGGGAUCUAACCUCGUUAUAUAGAUGCCGUCCGCACCUGGUAAGGGGCUUAUUUGUCAAAAAGUUAUGGACCGUUCACAUUCGCCCAGCGCAUGGAAUCGAGGCAACAACAAGAAGGAAUCAUAAAGAUAGGACGCAGAGGUCGAUGCCAGACUAUCGUGAAUCUGAAGGGUGAUGGAGAACCCGCCUUGCAAAGCUGGACACUAUAUCGUCAUUGAAGGCAGGUUUGGGGGCUACUAAGGGAGUCCUGGAUUCGGGGGUCCUCAGGUGUUCGGCCUAUUCGAUAUGGGCCGGACUGAUGGGCCGUGAAGAUAAAACAGAAGACCAUAUCCCGUGUCUGGGUGGGACUCCUAUAUACGUGGACGGCAAGAUUGGUGUCCGGAUGUACUAUUUCCUUCUCUUGUAAACCGACUCUAUACAACCGUAGGUCCCUCCGGUGUCUAUAUAAACCAGAGGGUUUAGUCCGUAGAGGCCAUCAGAAUAAUCAUAGGCUAGACGGCUAGGAUUUAGCCAUUACGAUCUCGAGGUAGAUCAACUCUUGUAACCCCUAUACUCAUCCAAUACAAUCAAGCAUGGCGUAGAGUUUUACCUCCUUUAAGAGGGCCCGAACCUGGGUAAACAUCAUGUCCCAUUGUCCCUUGUUACCAUUGAUCAUUAGACGCACAGCUUGGGGCCCCCUACCCAAGAUCUGCCAGUUUUGACACCGACAGCUGCUACUAGGCAAAGAAAGAAGAGAACCUCAGAUUCAGAGGAUGGGAAUUGAUACGUCUCCAACGUAUCUAUAAUUUAUGAAGUAUUCAUGUUGUUACAUUAUCAUUCUUGGAUGUUUUACAAUCAUUUUAUAGCAACUUUAUAUCAUUUUUUUGGGACUAGCCUAUUGACGCAGUGCCUAGUGCCAGUUCUGUUUUUACUUGUUUUUUACAUCGCAGGAAAUCAAUAUCAAAUGGAGUACAAACACCGCAAAACUUUUAGUGGAUUUUUUAUGGACCAUAAGACAUCCAAUCAGCCAUAGCAGCACCUGGGGGUGCCCCGAGGGGGCACAACCCUCCAGGGCGCGCAUGUGCCUGAUACGUCCAUUUUGCAUCAUGUUUUCCUACUGUUAUUUAUGUUGUUUUAUUGUAUAAUAAUGCUUUUUGGAGUAAUUCUAAUGCCUUUUCUCUCAUAAUAUGCAAGGUAUAUACAAAGGGGGAGGAUUCUGGCAGCUGGAAAUCUGGACCUGAAAAAGCUACGUCAAGCUACCUAUUCUACACAACUCCAAAUGAGCUGAAACUUCAUGAGGAUUUUUUAUGGAAUAUUUAAUAAAUAUUGGAGCAAAUAAGUACCAAAGGGGGGCCAUCAGGUGGGCACAACCGACCUGGGUGUGCCAGGAGGCCCAAGCGCGCCCUGGUGGGUGCUUCCCGCCUCGGCCCACCUCCGGUGCCUGUCUUCUGGUAUAUAAGUCAUUUUGACCUAAAAUAAUUGAGGAGAGAACUUUCGAGAUGAAGCACCGCUGUCUCGAGGCGGAACUUGGGCAGGAGCACUUUUGCCCUCCGGCGGAGCGAUUCCGCCGGGGGAACUUCUCUCCUAGAGGGGGAAACCAUCAUCAUCAUCAUCACCAACAACUCUCCCAUCUUGGGGAGGCCUAUCUUCAUCAACAUCUUCAACAACACCAACUCCUCUCAAACCCUAGUUCAUCUCUUGUGUUCAAUCUUUGCAUCGAAACUAUAGAUUGGUGCUUGUGGGUGACUAGUAUUGUUGAUUACAUCUUGUAGUCGAUUACUAUAUGGUUUAUUUGGUGGAAUAUUAUAUGUUCAGAUCCAUUAUGCUAUUUAAUACCCCUCUGAUCUUGAGCAUGAUUAUCAUUUGUGAGUAGUUACUUUCAUUCUUGAGGUCACGGGAGAAAUCAUGUUGCAAGUAAUCAUGUGAACUUGGUAUGUGUUCGAUAUUUUGAUGAUAUGUAUGUUGUGAUUCCCUUAGUGGUGUCAUGUGAACAUCGACUACAUGACACUUCACCAUAUUUGGGCCUAAGGGAAUGCAUUUUGGAGUAGUUAUUAGAUGAUGGGUUGCGAGAGUGACAGAAGCUUAAACCCCAGUUUAUGCGCUAUUCCGUAAGGGACCGAUUGGAUCUAAAAGUUUAAUGCUAUGGUUAGAAUUUAUUCUUAAUACUUUUCUCGUAGUUGCGGAUGCUUGCAAGAGGGUUAAUAAUAAGUAGUAGGUUUUUUUAAGUAGGAACAACACCUAAACACCGGUCCACCCACAUAUCAAAUUAUCAAAGUAGCGAACACGAAUUUUUGACAAAAAGACUGUAAGGGAACCCCCUACAUUAUAAUUGGUGCAACAAACCCAAAUUGCAAGUACCAUGCCUUGAACCUGGGUGGGUGGGAAGGCAUCAGCCCCUUCCCACCACUAGGCUAUGCCUUAGUCUGCAAGUGACUAGAUGAAAAUCCCGUGUACCCUCAAGAACACUUUGCUUAUCAUAAGAGAUCGUUUUGGCCUGUCCUUUGCCUCAAAAGGAUUGGGCUAUCUUGCUGCACUUUUGUUACUACUAUCGUUACUUGCUUGCUACAAAUAAUCUUGCUAUUAAACUACUCUGCUACUUCUAAUUCUAGCACUUGCAGACAUUACCUUGCUGAAAACCACUUGUCAUUUCCUUCUGCUCCUUGUUGAGUUCGACACUUGAGGGAGUCCUGGACUAGGGGGUGUCCGGAUAGCCGAACUAUCAUCAUCGGCCGGACUCCAAGACUAUGAAGAUACAAGAUUGAAGACUUCGUCCCGUGUCCGGAUGGGACUUUCCUUGGCGUGGAAGGCAAGCUUGGCGAUACAGAUAUGUAGAUCUCCUACCAUUGUAACCGACUCUGUGUAACCCUAGCCCUCUCCGGUGUCUAUAUAAACCGUAUGGUUUUAGUCCGUAGGACGACAACAAUAACAGCAAUCAUACCAUAGGCUAGCUUCUAGGGUUUAGCCUCCUUGAUCUCGUGGUAGAUCUACUCUUGUAAUACCCACAUCAUCAAUAUCAAUCAAGCAGGACGUAGGGUUUUACCUCCAUCAAGAGGGCCCGAACCUGGGUAAAACAUCGUGUCCCUUGUCUCCUGUUACCAUCCGCCUAGACGCAUAGUUUGGGACCCCCUACCCGAGAUCCGCCGGUUUUGACACAGACAUUGGUGCUUUCAUUGAGAGUUCCUCUGUGCCGUCGCAAUUAGGAAGGAUGCCUCCUCCCGUCUUUAAAGACGGUACCAUUGCCAAAGGAGCUUUGGCCGCUGGUCAAGCUAUCCGGCUAGGUGGUUUUCUUAUGACCGCCUGUUCGGCCACCGCUUCGACGAUGACCUCUCGGGUCAUCAAAAGCGAUCUUCGCAUCAACUCGGAAUUUGCCGAGCAGCUGGAUCUGAUGGAGCUCUCUUCCGUAAACGAGCUCUUGGAUCGCAUCGCCGCCCUGGGAGUCGCUACAGACUACGAUCAGAUUGGGCUUAAAAUUGAUCUGAGAGAAAUUAACUCUCCCUAGGCUACCCACCAUGUUGCUGUGGUAGAAGAACAACGCGGUGACUCUUCCUCUAUGUUAAAAACCAGUUAUGUCCGGAUUCCCGAUCCCUCCAUGCCGGAUUCCCGCGGAGGGACGGACGUCAGUCGAGUACUGAACCUAAAGUCAGGCAGCGGACUAGAUUCGUUGGACGACCUCCAGCAAUCCAAGCUUCCAAAUCCGAAAAUUCCUCGGCCUUUGAGCCUCAGAUUGGGUGGGGUUCCGAACUUAGUUCCACCCGCCCACCCAAACACAAGCGAUCUAUCCCAAAUACGGCGAGAGCCCAAUGAAACAGUACAUCAUUAGUGGGCCAGAUUCCUCCUGGUUAUGGACAGGAUAAAGGACUGUCAUGAGGAAAGCGCAAUCUCUAUUUUCUGCAAUAAUUGCACAGACAAGGGAAUUAUGAACGCCAUAAGUCAUCGCAAGGUCACGCGCUUCGCCGACCUGUCGACCAUAGUACGAAAAUACUGUGCGAUGGAGAGUGCCUGGAAAACCGAAACUAGAUUUUGGGACAAUCCGGCCCUAAACACAACCUUAGUCCGGAAUAAAAGGGUGCACCAUGCUCAAGCACCUGGGUCAAAAAUCAAAAAGCAAAACCCCCCAAAGGGCACGGAACCGUACUGGAGGGAUGGCUCAGCGGACCCUGCAAAAUCCAUAAUGCAGAAGGCGCCACUCCAACACAUAGCCUCCGGGCAUGUUGGAUACUACGGCAGGUGGCCAAAAGUGGCGAAGGGCUUCUAGCCCCGGAAAACUAGCCCAACAGUACCAGUACGGUAUCAACAGUCUUCGAGACUUUCGCAUCAAAUAAUAUGCGGAAACAAACAAUCCACAGCCUCGCCGAAGUCUACCAAGUAGCAACAACAAAUCCAUGGAGCGACAAGGCUAUCACCUUCAAUGCCAGUGACGAACCUAAAUUCCGAACAGCCCGAGCACCAGCCGCAUUGGUCCUCAAUCCCAUAGUGGACGGCUUUCGUCUUACCAGCGUACUCAUGGAUGGCGUCAGCGGAUUAAACCUCAUUUACGAGGAAACUCUCCAAAAAAUGGAAAUAGACUGGAGCCACAUUGAGCGAAGCAGCACAACCUUUAGAGGAAUAAUCCCUAGUCGGGAAGUACGCUGCACAGGAAAAAUCACACUAUAUGUGGUGUUCCGCUCGCCGGACAACUACAGGUCCGAGGAAGUCACGUUCCAAGUGGCCCCGUUCAGCAGCGGAUAUCACGCUCUAUUAGGGCGAGAGGCAUUCACAAUUUUCCAAGCCAUACCCCAUUACGGGUACAAGAAGCUCAAAAUGCCCGGGCCCAAUAUAAUCAUCACUCUGGUCAGUGAUCCGGACAUAGCACUCCGCGCCGAAAACAAGACAGCCGCACUAGCCCUAGAUGCACUAUCCGAAGCACUAGCGGCAGAAGAACUCACGGCACUAUGCUCCACGGCGAAUAUGGAUGAUGUGAUACUCAACAAGAGAUCUAAGUCCACAUCUUUCAAACCAGCAGACGAAAUAGUCAAAUUCCAGGUCCAUCCUACGGACCCCACAAAGACGGCCUCCAUUGGGGCACAAUUAAACCCUGAUGUAGAAGUCGCGCUACGAGAAUUCCUUCGGGAAAAUUGGGACAUUUUUGCCUGGCACCCUUCAGAUAUGCCAGGAAUCCCACACAGGCUGGCAGAGCACAGCCUAAAUAUCCUAAAAGGAUUCAAGCCAGUCAAACAGGCUCUUCGACGAUUUUCCGAACCCAAAAUACAGGCGAUGGGAGAGGAGCUAGCCAAACUAUUGGAAGCCAGAUUCAUUAGAGAUAUAAAACAUCCGGACUGGCUAGCAAACCUGGUAAUGGUACCAAAAAAGGACAAAUCCUGGCGCCUUUGUGUGGAUUUUAAAGACCUUAAUAAGGCCUGUCCAAAGGAUCCUUUCCCCCUCCCCGCAUCGACCAAAUCAUCGAUGCUACCGCGGGGCACAAUUCAUUGUGUUUCCUCGACGCAUACUCCGGAUACCAUCAAAUCAAGAUGGCGGAAACAGACCAGGCCGCAACGGCACUCAUUACUCCAUACGGACCAUUCUACUUCAAGACAAUGCCCUUCGGACUUAAAAACGCCGGCGCAACAUAUCAGCGCAUGAUUUAGACAUGUCUGGCUACCCAGAUCGGCAAAACAAUGGAGGCAUACGUAGACGAUGUGGUCGUCAGACCAAACACGUCGAAACUCUAAUAGACGAUUUGAGGCUCACAUUCGACAACCUUCGAGCAUAUGACAUUAAGCUUAACCUGGAAAAAUGCGUUUUCGGCGUACCACCCGGAAAGCUCUUAGACUUCAUUGUAUCCGGUAGAGGAAUUGAAGCAAACCCAGCCAAGAUCCGAGCUCUGUCACAAUUGGACAUCCCAAAAGACCUCAAACAAAUAAAAAAAUUGACUGGAUGCGUGGCGGCCCUAAGCCGCUUCAUCUCCCGUUUGGGAGAAAAAGCAUUGCCCCUCUAUCGCCUCCUCAGGCGCACCGAACACUUCGAAUGGACGGACGCUGCCACAGCCGGACUCGAAGAAAUAAAGGCCAUAUUGGCAACAAAUCCGGUCCUGGCCGCGCCCAACUUGGGCGAACCAAUGUUGUUAUAUAUCGCGGCAACACAUCAAGUUGUAAGCGUGGUGCUCGUCGUCGAACGAGAAACAGAAGGGCACAAAUUCCCUCUUCAAAAACCAGUGUACUACGUAUCCACUGUCCUAACUCCUGCAAGUCCCGGUACACACAUUAUCAAAAGAUAGCGUACGCGGUGUUCAUGGCAUCCUGGAAGCUGCGACACUACUUUCAAGAGUGUUCGAGAACAGUGGCCUCUGAAGUACCUCUCAACGACAUCAUAAACAACCGCGACGCGACGGGCAGGAUUGCAAAAUGGGCCAUUGAGCUUUUACCAUUCGAUAUAACCUACAAACCACGGCGAGCCAUAAAGUCGCAAGUUUUGGCUGACUUCGUCGCUGAAUGGACUGAAGCCGAACUCCCUAAAGAGUACGGCGCAUACUCCAAUUGGAUUAUGCACUUCUACGACUCUAAAAUGUUGGCCGGCUUGGGGGCUGGCAUCGUCUUGACGUCCCCAACCGGAGAUACAGUCUAAUACGUACUUCAAAUAAUGUACACGGACUCCAACAACGCAGCCGAAUACGAGGCCCUUCUACAUGGUCUCCGGAUGGCCAUCUCCAUGGGCAUUCAACGCCUAGAGGUCCGCGGGGAUUCAAACCUCGCAAUAUCCCAAGUAAAUGGAGACUUUGACGCCAAGGAUCCGAAAAUGGCAGCCUACCGUAACGCCAUCUUAAAAAUGUCAGCUCGAAUUCGAGGGACUCGAAUUCCACCAUGUAGCCCGGGACAACAACCAGGCAGCCGACGUGUUGGCACGCAUGGGCGCAAAACCCGACGCCGUCCCUCCAAACAUCUUCCUAGAGCGGCUCUUUAAGCCAUCCGUACUAUGGGAAGAGGAGUCCGGAAAUAGCAACCCGGAACCAACCGUACCACCCAACACGGAACAUUCUGACACAGUCGGUGGCUCAGCCAAUGAAAUAACACCCUCAGCCCACGAAAUAAUGGCAGUAAUCGCCCCGUGGAUGGAGCCAUUCCUAGCCUACUUAACUAGGCAGGAACUCCCUGAAGACCAAAAUGAGGCCCGCUGCAUAGUCCGGCGAUCUAAAGCCUACAAGGUCCAUGAGGGAGAACUUUAUAAGAAAAGCACAGCCGGAGUCCUUCAAAGGUGUAUCUCCGAAGAGGAAGGGCGAAAUCUCCUGGCUGAAAUUCACGCCAGACUCGGUGGGCACCACGCCGCAGCCCGGGCCCUUGUAGGCAAGGCCUUCCGUACAGGAUUUUAUUGGCCGACUGCCCGGGCAGAUGCUCAGGACUUAGUCCAACGAUGCGUCGGUUGCCAGCUCUUUGCUAAUCAAAGCCACAUGCCACCCACCACCCUCAAAACUAUACCCAUCACCUGUGGGGGCUUGAUAUGGUUGGACCCCUUAAAGGGGGAACCCACAAGCAAAAAUACCUAUUGGUCAUGGUGGACAAAUUCACCAAAUGGAUAAAGGCCAAGCCAGUUAAAACGGCCGAAUCCGGACCCGUGAUAGACUUCAUAUCCGGGGUAGUACACCGUUAUGGUGUCCCCCACAGCAUCAUCACUGAUAACGGCACGAAUUUCACGGCCGACAAGGUUAAACUCUGGUGCAAAAACAUGGGCAUCAAGCUCGACUACGCUUCAGUCUAUCACCCCCAAACUAACGGUCAAGUCGAACGAGAAAACGGUCUAAUCAUGAGCGGCAUCAAACCCAGACUAGUGCGGUCCCUCACGGAAUCUAACACGCACUGGGUAGAGGAGCUCGACUCCGUACUCUGGGGGCUGCGGACCAGGCCAAACCGCACUACCGGAUUCACACCAUUUUUUAUGGUGUACGGCGCAGAGGCAGUUCUGCCCUGCGAUAUAAUUCAUGACUCACCUCGCGUGCGCAUGUACGAAGAAAGAGAAGCCGAGUUGGAUCGGCAAGACAGUUUGGACGCCUUAGAGGAGGAGCGGGACGUGGCAAAAGCUUGUUCGGCAUUCUAUCAGCAGCAGGCUCGAAGAUAUCAAAGCAGAGAAGUACGGGCCAAAAUUUACAAUGUUGGUGAACUUGUUCUACGCCUGCCGGACAAGAAAAAGGACAAACUUAAGCCCAAAUGGGAAGGUCCCUUUGUCAUCGACCAAGUCCUGACUGGCGGGGCAUACCGUCUAUGUAACGCCUCUGACAACCGACUCGAGCUGAACCCAUGGAACGCAGCCCGUCUCCGAAGAUUCUACGCCUAGCGCCGGACUCGGGGUUCGUCUCCCUCCCCCGUCCACCUUUUACAUUUUCGUUGUCUCUUGUUCUCCUCCUCCUUUCCUUUUUUUUAGUAAAAGCCUUUGACGGGCUGAUCUGCGCAUUGUUCGCAGACACUUGAUGUGCUACUCGCACUCAUUAUACCUGGGGGCUUCUUUAACAGAAGCUUAUUUAUAUGGGCUUCAUGCCCAACACAUGUGUCAUACUUCCGCAUGUACCUUUUAUUCACCAUUAUAUGCACCGAUAUGACUUAAGUUUUGGCCAAGCUGGGUUGCCUGGCUCCUGUGCUUACCCCUACGUUCACGAUUGUUCGGCUAGGAGGUAAAGGGAGCACCUCUGCGAUUGUUACUGCCGGGUCAGCCGGAUGUGUACCUUUGACUGGGUGAAGCCGAAAGCUAGCGUUCUUAAGGGAAUAUUCGGUCGGUGACUUGAAAGAUGAUUUAUUACUUAUUUAAACUUAUUUGCCCCCAGAUGCUUUUUCUGCUCUUUUCGCAGUACGGACAUGCACCUUAGGGCAUGCCUCCCAGGGAAAGGAACCCCUAACGGGACUAUUCUCCCUAGAAGAUGUUUCUUACUAACCAUGUAAUAUAACAUAACUAGUUGGGCACUUGUGUGGUAAAGCACUAAUGACCCCUACGCCUGGUCUCCAUGCAUGCCCCGGUUUUUUCAUAACCGAGGAGGUAUUCGGACACACUCCAGACUCUAGGGUCCCGAGGUUGAAGCAAAAAGGUCGGCAAAGACAAACAAUCUACAAUCCGGCUAGAAGGCAUUUUACAUGUCAUUUCAAAAUACAUCGUCAAAUUGACUGAUUGUACUCCUCUUCAAUCCCGUCUAACAGGCUGUCUAAUUUAUAGUCCCGUUGGGAAUACUUAGCGGCUAACUCUACUUGGUCGUACAUUAAGCUCACAGGGAUCUCCUUCCCAUCGGGCCCCACAGGUCCGACCUCGGACAUGUGGUUCGGAUCCGCCUUCUUGUACCGCGUCUUCACCAUGGCCCAGGCCUCCCUGGCACCUUGACGGCAGGUCGAUAUCUUCCACAGACGGAAGUGCUGCCGUGCUCCCUGAAGCUUCUCUGCAAGCCCUUCAAGGCCUUCGGGUAGGGAGACGGACGGCCAGAAGGCCUGGGCAACGCCACUCAUCGCUUGUCGAACACGUCCGUGCAGUUGCAUCAGCUCGGGGAGUUGGUCACCCGUUGAAUCGGGCAUUUCCUCCGCAGGGCGACCUGUGAGCACACCUAGAGACACAUUUCUGUCAAUCGACUUCCUCGCCGACCUCUUCUUUUCAAAGGAGUUUGCUCAAGCACUUACUAUAAAUGCCGCGACGAAGCCGCUGAUUCUCCUUCACGGAGCCAGACAGCUGGGCCCGAACACCUUUCAGCUCUUCUCCCAGCCGGGUGUGGGCAUCUUGGAGUUUGUUCCUCUCCUGCUGCACCUUCAUAAGCACCCUCUCACCGGCCUUCAGCUGGCACAGUAGCUGUUGCUUGUUCGGAUCUAGUCCGGCACCCUCUGCAAUAUUAUUGUCAGACUUACGCACAUGCCGCACUUUAUUAACUACUUAUCUUUUCGAAGUAUGUAUUACCAGCGGGGGUCUCUGUGGCUCCCCCUGUGGCGGCCAGUGCAGCCUCAAGUUGGGCCUUGCACUCUUGAAGCUCCUGGGACAGGUGGGUAUUCUUCUCCGUAAGAUCCUGCAUAACAAAUGAUCCUUAAAUCAGUUAUUCUAACUAUUUUAAGUCUCAGGGGCUACUGGCAUAUAUAACUAUUAAAAUUCCUUACCUGUAUGUCCUUCACAUACUGCUCUGUGGCUCUGGUUAAACCAUCUUGAGUGGCACGGAGGUGGGCGUCUCCCACAUUAAAGGCAUUCAACGCUUCCGGGGAGAAACAUGCGUCAUGAAGAACUGUCCGGCGACGCCUGUGAUUCAUGGCGCUCUCCACCUCAGACCUGGUGGCGGACAGCCUGUCGGCAUCCUCCGUUGGAGGAGCAUCCGGCUCAUGCCUUGUGUUUGCCUCCCCUUCCGGACCACACGUUGGAGCAUGGCUGGCGGAGGCUUGAUUGGCAACCUCUCCGGACACUGUCCGGCGAGCGCUCUUUCUCCUGGAAAAGUCAUGAGCAUUAAUAUACCUCCUAGGGAUCUUUCCCUUAAAAACGGCGGUGCGCUGUACCGUUGCGGCGACGUUUCAAUUCACGCCGCACUCCUCUUCCGCCUACUGGGCCGAACUGAUCCUUGUUGGUCAGCCACCGCGGGUUCGGCUUCCCGCCUUAAAGGCGCCUCCUGCGGAGCACCGUUGGUACACGGUGGUCAGAAAUAAGCAUGGACCAAGUAAUGGUGUCAGGACUCCGGUCGUGGUCACCUGGGGAGCCGGAGAUAAACCGAGGUAGUCAGCCGUAAUGGCGACUAGAGCAUUAUCCAUGCUAAGUUGGUGGAACACCCCGUCGAUCAGCUCCACCUUUAUGUUCGGGUCCUCUUCGGAGGCCGGAUCAAGGGAUCGUCCCGGAUCCUUGGGCUGUGGAGUCAGGCUUUGUAUGCCCUCCACGUCCCGGCGCAGCUCCUGCGUCCAAAUCACAAAGUGAGACACUUGACUUUGGAAAUAUGGAUCGGAUAGAUAAAACGUCCGCUUACCCAGCUCCGAGGGUUAUUCAUGGAGAAUCCAUUCAAUGGACUCGUGCGGAGGAAGUCCUCCUUCUCCCCCUUGUACAAGCCGGACAGGAUCUUUACCAGAUCGGCGGCUGAUCCCGACCCCUUGCGGCCAUGACGGGUGGCGUCAUCUUCCCCGUUGAAAUCCCACAUUGGGUGGCCCCUAUAUUGGAGCGGCUGCACCCCUCGCAUAAUGCACGUUGCCAUGACUCCAAUCAUGGUCAAUCCGGAGUGGGCCAGUAACCUAAUCCGGCCCAUCAGAUAAUGGACGCUCCCAUCAUCUUCCCAUUGAGGGCUCCGCGGGCACCAACUCAGGCGUUUCUUCAAGGGAGCGUUGCUGAACUCCGAGAGGCCGAUCCGAACUGGAUCCGGCAGAGGGGUGUCCUCCAUAUAGAACCAUUCCAAAGGCUAGUUUUUGGACGCCUUCUUCGGGGUGCCGGAUAGAUAUCCGGUCCCGGCGAUGCGCCAUAUUUCGGCUCCGCCCACUUGAGAACAGGGUACAAGGCAAAACAAUUUCUUCCACAGCGCAAAAUGGGGCUCGAUGCCCAAGAACAGCUCGCAAAGAGCUACAAAGCCCGCGAUGUGCAGAAUGAAGGCAGGUGUAAGGUGGUGAAGCUGGAGUCCGUAGAACUCCAGGAGCCCCCGGAGAAACGGAUGUAUGGGAAAUCCGAGUCCCCUUAUUAGAUAAGGGACGAAGCAUACCCGAUCUCCUUUGGAAGGGUUGGGGGCGCUCUCCGCCUGCUUUCCACCCCUGAAGGUGGCCAGUCCGGCUCGAACCGGAACCAUGAAGGAUGGGGGAAGAUAUCCCUCGGUUUGGAGCGUCACUAGCUCGCUGUGUGGAACUGAGCAUCUCCCCAAUCUCCUGGCUGAGGGCUGGGAGCGCGAGAGGAGGAGCCGCGUCGACUAUCCAUGAUGGAAUGGAUUUUUGUCAGAGGCGCUCCGAUGAGUACUUGCGGAAGGAGGAUGGUGUGAGUUGGAUCUAGAUCCUCGCCUCUCUUAUAGGAGGCUCGUUCGCGCGGCUAGGGGGUAAAACGUAAAAAUACCCUAGCUUUUCGCAUUCAUACGACACGUGGAAGAGGGCCAUUAUUGGACGUAGAAGCCAAGGAACGCAACAUUUAUAAGGAAGCCGGACACUAUUCGGCAGGUACAUGAAGUUUGAAGGAGAAUCCGCCUUGCAACGCCGAAGACAAUAUACGCGCCGAACUCGUCGUCAUUGAAGCCUGGUUCGGGGGCUACUGAGGGAGUCCUGGACUAGGGGUUGUCCGGAUAGCCAAACUAUCAUCAUCGGCCGGACGCCAAGACUAUGAAGAUACAAGAUUGAAGACUUCGUCCCGUGUCCGGAUGGGACUUUCCUUGGCGUGGAAGGCAAGCUUGGCGAUAUGGAUAUGUAGAUCUCCUACCAUUGUAACCGACUCUGUGUAACCCUAGCCCUCUCCGGUGUCUAUAUAAACCGGAUGGUUUUAGUUCGUAGGACGACAACAAUAACAACAAUCAUACCAUAGGCUAGCUUCUAGGGUUUAGCCUCCUUGAUCUCGUGGUAGAUCUACUCUUGUAAUACCCACAUCAUCAAUAUCAAUCAAGCAGGACGUAGGGUUUUACCUCCAUCAAGAGGGCCCGAACCUGGGUAAAACAUCGUGUCCCUUGUCUCCUGUUACCAUCCGCCUAGACGCACAGUUCGGGACCCCCUACCCGAGAUCCGCCGGUUUUGACACCGACAACACUCUUACUUAUCAAAAAGACUACAAUUGACCCCAUAUACUUGUGGGUCAUCAAGGCUAUUUUCUGGUGCCGUUGCCGGGGAGUGAAGCGCUCUUGGUAAGUGGAAAUUGGAAGGAAACAUUAUUACUACAUACUGAAAUUUAUUGUCACUUGCUACUAUGGAAAAUAAUCCUUUGAGGGGUUUGUUCGGGGUGUCUUCACCUCGACCGAAACCACAAUUAGUUGCCCCUCAACCUACUACACCUACUGAAAAUAUUGAAUAUGAAAUUCCUUAUGGUAUGGUAGAACAACUGCUAGCUAAUCCUUAUGCAAAAGAUGGAACCAAACAUCCUGAUAUGCACUUGAUAUAUGUGGAUGAAAUUUAUGGAUUGUUUAAGCUUGCAGGUUUACCCGGAGAUCAAGCUAAGAAGAAGGUUUUCCCUUUAUAUUUGAAGGUAAAAGAAUUGGCAUGGUAUAGGCUAUGCGAUGAUAUUGGAUCUUGGAACUGGAAUUGGUUGAAAUUGGAAUUUCAUCAAAAAAUAUUAUCCUAUGCAUCUAGUUCAUCAUGAUCGGAAUUAUAUAUGUAAUUUUUGGCUCGUGAAGGAGAAAGUAUUGCUCUAGCUUGGGGGAGGCUUAAGUCAAUGUUAUAUUCAUGCCCCAAUCAUGAGCUCUCAAGAGAGAUUAUUAUUUAGAAUUUUUAUGCUCGGCUUUCUCGUAAUGAUCAAUCCACGCCCGAUACUUCUUGUACUGGUUCUUUUAUGAAGAAGACUAUUGAAUUCCGGUGGGAUCUUUUAGAAAGAAUAAACACAACUCCGAAUAUUGGGAACUCGGUGAAGGUAAAGAGUCAGGUAUUGAACCUAAGUUUGAUUGUGUUAAAUCUUUUAUGAAUAUCGAUGCUUUUCAAAAGUUUAGCACUAAAUAUGGACUUGACUCUGAGAUAGUAGCUUCCUUUUGUGAAUCUUUUGCUACUCAUGUUGAUCUCCCUAAGGAUAAGUGGUUAAAAUAUCACCCACCUAUUAAAGAAGAAGUUAAAGAACCGGUAAAAACUAAAUAAACUAUCAUUUAGAAUGUUGAUCCAGUUGUUCCCACUACUUAUAUUGAAAAAUCACCUUUCCCUGUUAGGAUGAAGGAACAUGCUAAAGUUUCAACUGUGGUUAACAAAAGUUAUGUUCGAACACCCAAACCAGUUGAACAAAUCAGAGUUGAACCUAGUGUUGCUAUGAUCAAUGGGCAUGCUAUUUACUUCUGUGAUGAAGCUUCUAGAAUUGCCAAACCUGAAGAAAUGGAUAAACAUAGACUAGUUGUUGGCAUGCCUAUUGUCUCAAUUAAGAUAGGAGAUCACUGUUAUCAUGGGUUAUGUGACCUAGGUGCUAGUGUGAGUGCUAUUCCUUUUUCCUUAUACGAAGAAAUUAAGAAUGAAAGAGCACCUGCUGAAAUAGAAGACAUAGAUGUCACUAUUAAACUUGCCAAUAGAGAUACUAUAUCACCAAUUGGGAUUCUUAGAGAUGUCGAAGUCUUGUGUGGGAAAAUAAAAUACCCUGCUGAUUUUUUGGUUCUUGGCUCCCCACAAGAUGACUUUUGUCCCAUUAUCUUUAGUAGACCUUUAUUAAACACCAUCAAUGCUAGAAUAGAUUGUAAGAAACAAACUGACAGUGUUAGCUUUGGUGAUGAAUCUCAUGAAUUUAAUUUUCCAAGUUUAGUAAACAACCUCAUAAGAAAGAUUUGCCUAGUAAGGAUGAAUUUAUUGGUCUUGCUUCUAUUGAUGUACCUCCUACUGAUCCUUUGAAACAAUAUUUGCUAGACCAUGAAAAUGAUUUGCAUAUGCGUGAAAGAAAUGAAAUAGACAAAAAAAAAUUCGAACAACAACCUCUGCUUAAACACAAUUUGCCUAUUGAAACUCUAGGAGGUCCUCCACCUAAAGGUGAUCCUGUGUUUGAAAUAAAACAAUUGCCAAACACUUUGAAAUAUGCUUAUCUAGAUG